UAGUCUAGGCUGAUUAAUGUAACAUGACUACGCCUAGCAUCCACUGCUUCCUCCAAGUUUGUAUAAUCAUCAGCUCAAGUACUCCAAAAAUAAGAAAUAAGUUGGACAGUGUCUUGAUCAUUUAGGUCAUUGCAAGGACCAAUGCAAUUAUGUCAGGAUCAUAAAUCUUGAACUGGAAGUAACCUCAUAGGAUAUUUCAUCCAACUCUUUCAUGAAGAAACUAAGGAUCAGUCAGAUUCAAUUACUUUGCCCAAGGUCAUAGGAGGAGCACAUAUCCAAGAAACCAGCAAUAUCUAAACAAGAUGUUUAUAAGAAAUUCUAAGGGAAAUGGGAAGGUCCUACUGAAAGGCUGUUGUUAUUAGAAAGUACAAUCUGAAGCUAGAGAUGAAGAGCCCUCUCCUUCUACUGUGCUGCAGACGCUUUAUAGGAAUACUAGCAAUGGAGCAGUGUGUGUGAAAACAGAAGACAGAAUGGCCAGAACCAGGGCAUAGCAAAUUGGAAUCGGAACUGGACAGAAGGAACAGAAAAAAAUUCUCAAGAAAAAGGUCACUGAAGAUGUGCAAGUCCUCUUUCGGCGGAUAAAGCUGCUCUCGUUCAGAUAAAGUUUCUGAUCGAAGCAAGAAAGUUCCAGUAAAUCCGGCAGACCGGUGGGCACCAGGUGGGCACCCCGCUUCCCAAAGCGAAAGCGCGCGGCUCCUCGAGGCUGAGAGUAACGCAUGCACUGGAUCACUUUAUAGGAAGAAGAAGGAAAAAAAAAAGGCAGGCAGCAUGGACUCUUACCUCCACAAACUGCAACCUUUCAGUAUUUUCCUGGGACAUCAGGGUACUCCUCCCGUUCUAAAGCGCUGCGUGUUCUGAACCAGGGCGACCAAAGAGCAGAGUCUCUAAAGCCAAAUCCGCUUGCUACCCCUUGGCCCUGCGUCUGUCCCCGAAGCAUCUGGGAGUCAGUCCUUCCCGACUAGGCACCUCCCGGGCUCAAGCUAACUGGGCAGCCAGCAAACAGGAAAGAAGAAGGCGAGGAACGCCCUGCCCAGCUCAGCCCCCGCCGACACGCCCCGCCCGCAGACUGCCGUCUGCAGCUGCUCUGGGUGGGAGUGGGGGGAAGAGGGAGAGGGCGGACACACAACAGAGGGGAAGUUUCAUGUGAGCGUGUGUGUGUAUGUUUUCUCUGCCGGGCAUCGCAUCCUUUCCUCCUCUCGCCCCCUGCCCUGCAGGAAACAGGACAGGAAAUAUGCAGAAUUCUGCCUCCCAUCUCCCCAUCUCCCCACCUCCCAGGCGAACUGAGGAGCCGCCAGAAACCCAAAGUCAUCUCUAGCCCUUCUUCAAGUCAAGGGCAUUCCAAGAGUCGGAGCCAGACGGAGUAGACCCUACUCACUCUAUCCAUCUCCAAGGAAUUUCAGGCAGUCAUCAGUGGUCUAUCAAGACCUGGAAAUUCUAACCACCAUCUCUUUGCGUAAAGCUUUCUUUUUCUUGCUGGUUAAGAUGGGGAAGUUAAUCUAGGCAGAGGUGGGGAGCACUCAGCCACAGAGACUGAAUGCUCAUUUCUAGACAUUGGUCUCGCCCGACCCCGGGAACUCCGACAUCCUGGGCUGAAACAGAAGAAAUGGGAUUUCCCACUAGGAAAACCGAGGAAGUGGCCAGAAUUCAAGAGGAUUCGUGGAUGUGGUUUUGAGGGCUAGAAAAAUAUCCAUCACUGCCGAUGUUUCCAUCUUUCAAAGCCCAGGAAUGAUUCCUUAAGGUUAAAAUGCAUAUUGGGGGGAAAAGCUUAAAAUCUGCACAUUCCUAAAUCUUAAAUCUAAAAAGGCAGCGGAGUUGAUAGUUCUCUUUUAAGUCUGUCCACAUAUGUAUUUGCUUGUGGGUUAGAACCGUUUGGGUUUUGCCUUUGUAUCUUGCCAGAUGCUUAAUAACUGAUAAAUUGAACUGAAUUAGAUUAACCCUUUACAUAGGCUACUUACAAUUUCUUUUGCUCUUAUGAAAAGUACCAUAUUUUUCAUUGGAGCCAAAAUCUAGCUUUGGUUCCUUAAAUUUUUCAAUAGGAUUUUAAGAAAAAUUAGAAUAGUUUAAAUCAUCUCAAGAGUUGGGAGAUUACUAAAAUGCUUUUCUUUUAAAGGAAUUUAACUAAAUAGCACGAAUGAAAUCUAUUUUGACCAGCAAAAAAUAACCACCAUUCACUUUAACUCUUGAUAAAGAUUAGUUUAUUUGGUUAUAUCAAGUUUUCAAUUUUAUAAUCAGGUUUUCCAUGUAUAAUAUUUUUUAGCUCAGCCUAUUCUUUGGAAUAUUAACACUAGAAACCUCCUUUCUGGAAGAAUUGGGUACAGAUAGCCCAAUUCUUAUUGUAUGCGAUUUUAUAGGCUGAGAAUUCUUUCUGAACUGUACUUCCAUUAAGCAAAUUGUACUUUGGUUAAGAAACUUUUAAAAAGUGAUAAAUAACAUUACUCAUUUAUUAAAGGGUAGAAGUAAAAGAGAUUAGCAACAGGGUCUUGUCAGCAUUGGGUACUUAAUUCUGUUCUUAGGGGGAUGACAUAUUUGGCAAAGUUUUGCAAAACCAGUAUCCAUGCUCUACUGUUACUCCAAAGUACCUGAGACCUCUUUUCUUCCUCUCUCCUUUUUUUCAGUGAUAGUAUGUGAAAACAAUGAGUUCAAUUUUCAUCUCUCUACAGAUGUCUCAGAAAUUCAAAUACCCAGUUACUCUCUAUUUCUCCCCUGAGCCCCAGUCCCCCAUCAUCAACUGCCUUUAUUGCCAUAUAUCUUCAUUUAGACAUCCUCAAACUCAACAUGUACAAAACGGAAACCAUUAUACCUUCCCCUUUCCUAAUUUCCCAUUUCAAUUAAGGGAUCACUCUCCUGGUUACCCAGAUUCACCUCAACAUCAUCUUCAGUUCUUCCUCCUUCACUUCUUUCUCUAUAUCCAGUGAGUUGCCAAAUCUUGUACUUGUAUUCAUUCACACCCAUUCCCUUCUUUCCAUUCACAUGGCCAUUGCCCCAGUUUGUUCCCUCAUAUUUUUGCCUAAAUUAUCACAGUAGGCUUAAUUGAUAUCUCAUUUUAAAGUUCCUAACAAUCUUGUUUGAUUCUCCUUUUCCAGACUCUACAUUAUUCUCCCUCACUUUCUACCUGCUUUCCAGACAAGCAAGCCUUUGUGCUGUUUCCUGAUAUAUAUUCCAUAAUAAAAAAAUUCUAUUUCCUACUGAUGUAUCUUUUGCAAAGGUUAUUGUUACCACUUAACCCCAGAUAUUUCUGACACUGCUGUCUCACUAUUCUGUCCCAUCCCUGCAUGUGUGAAGUUGAUUUUUUUUUAAUCCAAGUAUAACACCAGAUGUCAUUUUUUAAAGAUUCAGCCCAAUCCUUUAGUAGCCUAAGAUUUUUCUGGUCUUAUUGUCUACUAUUAGCUACUCCUUAGUACUUCUACAUCUUUAUCCCAGACACUGAUAAGCAAAGGCCAUGGGCUAUCAAUGAGUAUCGAUGUUCACCGGGGGGAAAUGGGAGCAAAGAGAUGCUUUGGAAUAGGAAUUGGAUAGAUUGGAUUGGCUAGAUACAAAUAGGCCUUGACAUGAUGAAAGUCAUGUCUUGGCAAGAUUGGUGGAUGGGCAAGAUGGAUUUAGGGUCACUUUAAUAUAUACUCAUUCACAGAGAGCAAGUUGUUUUUUAAAGAGUUCAUUAUAAGAAUAGCUCUCUUUUUAAAUGAUUAAAAUCGAGUUUGAAAGCAUCCUUAAUGUUUGUAGCAAGCAUCUGAUUGUCUAGGAGGAAAAGGGUGACCAUAUUUUAUACUUUCUCAUGCUUUAAAAAAAGAGAAGAGAAUAUCAAGUUAGGAAAAAUCUCUUUUUAUUAUGAUGAUUUAUUAAUAUAUAUUAUAUAUCAAUCAUUUAAUUUAACCCUGAAAAGAUCUUUACUUACACAAAGUAGAAAGUUUUGUCUUGACAAUAAGUGGCUCAAGAAGUGCCAUUAUAAUAAAGCUAAGGAUACAGGUCUGUGUCUUAAUGCUCCUAAGAGGUAAGUCAUGAAAGCACUAAAUAAUAAAUAUACCAAUUAUGAAAAGCACCGAGACAGCAUUUUAGGUGGGAGUCAGGGUCCAAUAGUUCAUACUUCAACAUAAGCCUCCCAAGAGCAAGACCUGAAUGAUGCCCCCAAGAGAGUUCAAAGUUACAAAAAAAACAGAGUUUGGGACAAGAAAUAGUGGAAAUAGGUCCACUUAAAAAUGCAAAACAAGAAAUACCUAAAGUUGUGAAAUAUACUUUGUUUCAAAAGAUAAUAAUGCCUCCAGAAUAGUGUCUAUAUGCAAUUUCCCCUCCUUUUCCAGUUCCCUUCACUUUGUAGUUGCGUUAUUGGUACCCCACUCAUAUUUUGCUGCUGUCGUAUGAAAGUAAACAUAAUGCCUGAAUCACAUUAAUUUGUUGUGAAUGAUCUUAACCCUUAAAGCUUGAACCAUUGCCUAGUAUCUACAACCUGUGAAACAGCUUACUAUUCAAAAGUAAGAAGGAACAGGGUGGAAGCAUUUGUCAUUACAAAAACCAAAACGUGACAAAUGAGAUUUUUCUUUGUGUUGUGUAUAAAAGCAUCCUUUGCAUCUUUGGAGGUCUAAAAACCAUAGGGAUACCUAGGAACAAACUUAAGCGUUUGAAUGAGGGAGUUCACUCAUCAGUGAACUGUCAGCAAAUGGUACCUAGAACAAAGUUCUCUAGAGGCAGCACUUCUGUUGGUACUCUACAGAUAUUAAAUACCUAAAGCUGAUACACAGGAGCUGACACUUGUGUAAAGAGAGUGGCCGGCUGGCCUAGCAGGAGGUAAUUUCUGAGUGUGAGGCUAGAAAUCCCUUGAAAUCUCCACAGCAGGAUCCUGGAAUGGUAGCCAGCAGUGAUACACAGACUGAUCCCACACAUCUCAGAAGCCCCUUAGAGAGACUCAAGCAUAAACUUGGGAUUCCUCUUGGGCUGGCUAAAUAUAAAUACUUAGUCACUGAAGGUGGGUUCUCAGAGUACGGGUACUGAUCAUCCUGUAAAAUGUGUGUACACAUACUACGAAGUCCCAGUUAAAAAUUAUCCUCACCCUCCUACUCCAGCUCCUUGGCCAGUCUGUACAGGGGGGGGUCCUAUCCUGACCUUAGGCACAUGGCCUAAGUUAUGCCAUUUUAUACUAUAUUGUAUAUUUGUAAAACUGGAGCUAUUUUCAUUAGUGGCAGCAUUUUUUGGUCUCAGGAUCUAUUUCUCACAGUAAUAUUUUUCUAAACAGAGCAGUAAUAACAAGAAGCAGGCUUUUUUGCAUGUUGUUAAGUAAAUCAGGGCAAACAGAAGUAAAAAAUAUUGCUGGAAUAUGGUAGAAUGACUUGCUAGUAGUGCACCAGAAUUGUUCAUUGCUGAAAAGGAAGAAAGGAUGGAGAUAUGGGUGUGUAGGGGGGUGUGUGUAUGUUCUAACUUUCUUCUUUUUAUACUCUGAGAAAAAAGACAAUCAACUUUCCAGGUUCCUGAUGGCUAGUUCAGGGUUCUCUACAGCAGACUUAAUGUAUCCCCAGGGCAGCUAAUUUCCAAAUUUGGAAUCAUCCCUUUACACAUGUCUAAACAGCUUCUUAAUUCAAUUUCAAAAUCCAAUGCAUUUUAAAAGUAAAAUGACAUAGGUGCAUUCUUUAAAUGCCAGUCAUGAAUUCACCACUAGAAAAUAGAAAUUACUGCAUCAAGUCCCUACAUAAAUAAUCCAAAUAAAAUGCUAAAAAGGAUACUUGAUCUGGCCUCUGAAAGAGACAUAGCCUAUGACUGCUUCCAAAAUCCCCUCAGAGGAGGUGUUUAAUAUGGCAUCCAGUUUACCUUGUGCUUCACUGGUGCCAUAGUUCUAGCACUGCACUGCAGACAUGGCAUAUUUCAGAUACCCCAGAUAGGUAAACAUUUGACACAAACAUGAAUCCUACUGUGAUUCAAUCCAUUUCAGACACAUUGUCAACAGAACCAUUACGAGGCCAGGUUUAUUCACAUGAACUAAACUCCCUUCUUUCUAAGCGGUUGAAUUAAAGGAUCUAGUUAGACACUCUUAAUUUACAUUGACCCAAGAAGGGUCAACAUAAACAUAACAUGAUUUAAUUUUCAUGACAGAUUUUUUUCUCUAGUUUUUUUCUAUAUUAAUCCUAAAUAACCUUCCUAGGAUAUUCUAUUUAGGAAAAAACAUUAGAAAAUCUGUCCUGUAUUGCAGUGCUCUACCAAAAUUCCUAAGCGGAUAAAAGUUUAUCCCUUAGUUUUCUGUCAUUCAGUCUUUGCAUGAUGAAAGGAUAUGGGUAAAGAAUAUUACAAUUACAAAAUCUUUAACUCUGGGUCAUGAACAAAUUUGGAUAAAAUCGCAAGCCUUCUACUGAAUCAUCUCUGCAAAGAUGGCCCAUCUUUUCAGCAAGAAGCAACCUAAAGACAAAGGUGAAAACAAAAUCAUUUAUACAUUCAUUCAAUCAAUCAAUCCACAAGGAUUUAUUAACUACACACCAUGUGAGGUUCUAGAGAUAUAAAGAGGAAAGGGAAAUAGUCUUAUGCCUCAAGGAGCUUCAAUUUCAUACUGAGAAGAUCCACAGUUAAGAUUAAAGAUACCACACAGCAGGUGGCAAUUGGGCUGCAUCUUGGAAGAAAGCAGGGAGUCUAAAAGGCAGAGGAGAGGAAGAAAUGUAUUCCUGGUAGUGAGGAACACCAGUUCAAAGGCACAGAGAGGGAAAUGGAGUGUCUUUUAUGAGGAAGUCUAAGGUCAGUUUUGGAUGACUGUUAAGACUAUGAAAAAGGAAAUAAAGAAAAGAAGGCUGAAGAGGUAGAGGUUUUAAAGGCUUUAAAUGCUGCAAGAAGGAGCUCAUAUAUGCUCUUAGACAUAACAGAGGGAUCUAGGUGGCUUGGUGCUGGGCCAGGAAUCAGGAAGACCUGAGUUCAAAUCCACUUCAGACACUAGCUAUGUGACCUUUGGCAAAGUGACUUAACUUGUUUGUCUUAUCUGCUAGAAAAGGCAAACCACUCUGGUAUCUUUGCCAAGAAAACCCCCUGGACUACUGUCAUGCUGGUCCACAGGGUCACAAAGAGUCAGACACAUCUGAAUAAAUAACGAGGUAUAUUAGGAAAACUACUGGAGGUUACUGAAGAGGAAUACUGGCUGGAGUACAAUCAGCUGGAAGUGCCCUUUACGAACAUCUCUGACAAUUGUGUGGAGGAUGGAGGAGACGAGUGAGAGAUUCAAGGGAGGAAAUGACUGUAGCAGUCUAGGCAAGACAUGAUAAGGGGGGCGACUGCAGAUGGAGACAAAGGGACAGACACAAGAGAUGCUAAAAGGCCAGAUCUGGCAGCCGAAUGGAUACAUGAAGUGAGAACCAGUUGAAAAAUUAAAAGCAUGAACAGGAGUGACUAAAAAAAUGGUGGCACCCAUGGCAGUAAUGAGUACAUUUUGGAUAGUUUGAGUUGGAGAUACUUAUGGAGCAUUCAGUUCACAAGGUCCAAUGGUAGAGGUGAGAGUUCAGGAGAGAGACCAGAGCAGGAUAUAUAGAUCUGGGAGUUAUCUGCAAAGCUCCCAUAACUAAAUCCAUGGAAGUUAAUGAGAUCACUAAGUGAGAGAGGUAUAUAGAGAGAAAAGAAGGUGGCCUAGGACAAAGCCUAUGGAUGUGCACGGCUACAGGGUAUGAUAUGAAUGAUGAUCCAGCAAGAAGGAGUCAAUCUGGCAAGAAAAGAUCCCAGAGAGAAUAAUGUCAUGAAAACUCAUAGAUGAGAGAAUGUUUAAGGGAAGACGGUGGUCAGCAGUGCCAAAUGCUGUAGAAAAGUCAAGAUAGAUGGAGAUUAAGAAAAAGCUAUCAGAUUUGUCAAUUAAGAGAACACAAUUAAUAAAAAUGAGCAUCAUCACCCCAACCUAAUUUACCUUUCCUUGGCUAAGAGAACAGACAUUCCUACAAGUUUGGCAAAUUCUUCAGAUGUAAGAGAUCCCUUUUCUGAUACCUGUAACAAAGAAAAUCAAAUAAAAUAUGAAUUUAAUUGACAAGGCAUAACCCUUAGUCUUAUGAAUGUGAUCAAAUAAGACAUUUAAAAACAUACAAUAAGUUCUUGAUUGUAUUACACAUAUUCAAAUAAUAUUAGCAGUUGAAUUAAAUUUUCUUUACCAGUGUUUGACUCUAAGUGCCAUGAGGAAAGCAUUAUGUAAACUUUAAAGAGCUAUGCAAACAUGAGGUAAUACUACUACUAAGAUAAAGACUCCAAAUUUCAAAACCUAAUAGCCUAAAUUGUAGUAUAUCUCUAUAAUACAUAUGACAGAAGGUCUGUAGGGUAACAUAAAAGGCUAGACUGAACAUUCUGUAAAGGAAGAGGGUAAAGAAUUUAAUGAAUCAACUUAAGUUAAAAAUGUGCAUUAUAGAAACAUUUGAAAGUCAGAGAGGAGAGAGUGGAAAGAGACUAGGGCGAUCAUCUAGUACAGCCUUCCCUUUUAACAAUGAGAUUACUAUAACAAAGAGAAGUUCAGUGCUUUUCUCAGAGGUCCCAUGGUUAAUAAGUAAAUUGUGCAAGUUCAAUGAAGGCAAUAAUAUGUCAAGACCUGAAAUGAGCUACAUCAACAGAGAAAUCUGCUAAACUGCUCUGACCUAGGUUUAUGGAAUAUUAUGUACACAGUAAGCAACAAUCAUUUAUGCUGAAACUGAACUGAAGCAAAUUGUUUGACACAGUUGCCUGGCAAUCAGUAGUGAUGUCUGUGUGUGCCCACUAUUGACAGAGCUCAGUUAUGUAAUGCUUUGAUUGAAAAAACAAAACAGCCAAAGCUAACAAGCCUCAAAGAAAAUACCUUGUAUAACAUUAGUUUAUUCAUCCUCCUUAUUUCUGAGUAAAAUGGGAUCGAUAAAUUGAGGUGCCAGAGAAGCACUUAAUUAUGGGUUUGAUAGAGGAAAUCCCUAGACUGGGAACAUCCUACCCCAACACAGAUUGAAACCCAUCAAUGACUAAGUAAUAAAAUCAUCUCUCAGAAAGCAAUUAUCAAGUGUCUAUGAUGUGCCAUGUAUUGGAAAGUCAAAUACAAAUGUGAGAGAGUCUCUGUCACAGCAAUGGGCCACAUGUUAAUAGAUAAAUAAAAAUAUAGGAUAGGCACUGACUUUUGGGGGUGGGGAGAGAGAAGAGAGGUGAUCAACUGUAGGAAUUUUAAAAAGCUUCAAAAAGCAGGUGGCACUUGACCUGGCAGAGGUGGGGAAACAAGGAAUUCGAGGCCUGAGGGACAGAGAGGCAGUAUUGAGCUCCUGGCAGUACAAAGGUCAGGGACUUGACUCAAGUCGCACAGCUCAGAGGUGAGAUACAACACAGGCCUAUGAGACUUCAUGUCAUGUGGUGUUACCCACCAUUCCAAGCUACCUUACUCAUUAAGAUCAGUUUUAAAACAUUAGAACAUGUAUAUCUAAAAAUAACUUCUUAAUAUGGCAAACUUCAAGUUCUUCAAAUUUUACAUCUAAUGUGUUUAAAUCUUCUUUGAAAACAAACUGUUAAAGGGCAUACUGUCUCUAAAGCUGAGGCAAGCAUUUCCUCCUCAUUGUGGGACUGAAGUUCAAUGACCAUUACACCGCUGUCAAAAAUCCGGAGCCUGAAACGGAAAAAUGAGAGUAAGAGAAUUAAUUAUUAGGGCAAGAAACUUCAGCAACUAAAAAACUCUGGGAUUUUUUAAUAUUCAUGUAUAGGAGUGAUAUCACAGCAGAAAUAAUAUUCAAAACAUAACACUCCAAGGAAUUGGGAGCAAAGUUUUGACCAGUGAAGUACAGAUUACUUCGCGAUAUUUUCUCUUAAUAUAUAGUCCCAGUGGAAGAAAAGACUUCAGAUAAUCCCAGAUCAUACAGACAAACCCUGAACAGUCCCAUUUGAGGGGAGCAGAUCAUUUUACCCUUAUAUCUUACCUCACUGCCAAAUUCUUCCUGCCAAAGGGUCUGUUCAUCUCCCCAUUUCCCACUCCCACCGCCCCACCCCCAGAGUUCUAAUAGACAGAAGCAGGAAUGAUGGUAAGACGUGAGAGCAUUGAUGUAUAUCUGUUUCUAUCAACCUCCACUAAAAUCUAUUAUCAUGUCUAAUAUGGAGGUGACCCUGAGUCACUAAAGACUGUGCCAGGUACUGAAAGCUCUGGUAGAGCUUACAUACUCAAGCAAGAAAGGCUUCAACUAAUUUAUAUCCUUGAGUUCAUAUAUUAAAAAAUUAGGGAGGGCAGAAGUCAAUGAAUUGUACAUGCAAAUUAAAAAACCUAGAAAGAGAACAAAUUUAAAAAUCCCCAGAUGAAAACUAAAUUAGAGAUCCUAAAAAUUAAAGGAGAAAUUAAUCAAAUCAAAAGUGAAAGAACUAUUGAAUUAAUAAACAAGACUAGAAACUGAUACUUCGAGAAAACAAAUAAAAUAGACAAAGUCCUGGUCAAUCUAAUUUAAAAAAGGAAAGAAGAAAACCAAAUUAACAGUAUCAAAGAUGAAAAGGGAGACCUCACCUCUAAUGAAGAGGAAAUUAAGGCAAUCAUUAAAAACUAUUUUGCCCAAUUAUACAGCAAUAAAUAUGGCAAUCUAGGUGAUAUGGAUGAAUAUUUACAAAAAUAUACAUUGCCUAGAUUAAUAGAAGAAGACAUAGAAUAAAUAACCCCAUAUCAGAAAACAAAAUUGAAAAAGCCAUCAAAGAACUCCCUAAGAAAAAAUCCCCAGGGCCUGAUGGAUUCACUAGUGAAUUCUAUCAAACAUUCAAAGAACAACUAAUCCAAAUACUAUACAAAGUCUUUGACAUAAUUAGCAAAGAAGGAGUUCUACAAAAUUCCUUUUAUGACACAAAUAUGGUACUGAUUCCAAAGCCAGGCAGAUCAAAAACAGAGAAAGAAAACUAUAGACCAAUCUUCUUAAUGAACAUAGAUACAAAAAUCUUAAAUAGAAUACUAGCAAAAAGACUCCAGCAAGUGAUCACGAGGGUUAUUCAUUAUGAUCAGGUGGGGUUAUACCAGGAAUGCAAGGAUGGUUCAAUAUUAGGAAAACCAUCCACAUAAUUGACCAUAUCAACAAGCAAACCAACAAAAAUCACAUGAUUAUCUAAAUAGAUGCAGAAAAAACCUUUGACAAAAUAUAACACUCAUUCCUAUCGAAAACAUUAGAAAGUAUAGGAAUAGAAGGGCCUUUCCUAAAAAUAAUAAAAAGUAUUUAUCUAAAACCAUUAGCCAACAUCAUCUGCAAUGGAGAUAAACUAGAUGCAUUCCCAAUAAGAUCAGGAGUGAAACAAGGAUGCCCAUUAUCACUGCUAUUAUUUACCAUUGUACUAGAAACACUAGCUGUAGCAAUUAGAGCAGAAAAAGAAAUUGAAGGUAUUAAAAUUGGCAAUGAAGAGACCAAGCUAUCACUCUUUGCAGAUGAUAUGAUGGUCUACUUAAAGAAUCCUAGAGAAUCAACUAAAAAUAAUCAACGACUUUAGCAAAGUUGCAGGAGAAAAAAUAAACCCACAUAAAUCAUCAGCAUUUCUAUAUAUCUCCAACACAUCUCAGCAGCAAGAAUUAGAAAGAGACGUCCCAUUUAAAAAUCACCCUAGAUAAUAUAAAAUACUUAAGUUAUCUAUCUGCUGAGACAAACACAGGAACUAUAUGAACACAACUACAAAACACUCUCCACACAAUUAAAACUAGAUCUAAAUAAUUGGAAAAACAUUAAUUGCUCAAGGGUAGGAUGAGCUAACAUAAUAAAAAUGACAAUUCUACUCAAACUUAUUUACGUAUUUAGUGUCAUACCCAUUGAAUUACCAAAAGCUUUUUUACUGAAUUAGGAAAAAAACAUAACAAAGUUCAUUUGGAACAUUAAAAGAUCAAGGAUAUCCAGGGAAAUCAUGAAAAAAAAUGCAAAGGCAGGGGCCCUAGCAGUACCAGAUAUCAAACUAUACUAUAAAGCAGUGGUCAUCAAAACAACAUGGUACUGGCUAAGAGACAGAAAGGAGGAUCGGUGGAAUAGACUUGAGAUAAGUGACCUCAGUAAGACAGUCUAUGAUAAACACAAAGAUCCCAGCUUUUGGGACAAAAAUCCACUAUUUGACAAAACUGCUGGGAAAAUUGGAAGGCAGUAUGGGAGAGAUUGGGUUUGGAUCAACAUCUCACACCCUACACCAAGAUAAACUCAGAAUGGGUGAAUUACUUGAAUAUAAAGAAGGAAACAAUAAGUAAAUUAGGUGAGCACAGAAUAGUAUACUUGUCAGAUCUUUGGGAAAGGAAAGAUUUUAAGACCAAGCAAGAGUUAGAAAAAAUUACAAAAUUUAAAAUAAGUAAUUUUGAUUUCAUUACAUUAAAUAGUUUUUGUACAAACAAAACAAAUGCAACCAAAAUUAGGAGGGAAGCAACAAAUUGGGAAACAAUCUUCAUUACAAAAACCUCUGACAAAGGUCUAAUUACUCAAAUUUAUAAAGAGCUAAAUCAAUUGUACAAAAAAAUCAAGCCAUUCCCCCAACUGAAAAAUAGACAAGGGACAUGAAUAGUCAACUUUCAGGUAAAGAAAUCAAAACUAUUAAUAAGCACAUGAAAAAGUAUUCUAAAUCUCUUAUAAUCAGAGAAAUGCAAAUCAAAUCAAAGUAUCACCUCCUACCUAGCAGAUUGGCUAACAUGACAGCAAAGAAAAGUAAUGAAUGCUGGAGGGGAUGUGGCAAAAUUGGGACAUUAAUGCACUGCUGGUGGAGUUGUGAAAUGAUCCAACCAUUCUGGAGGGCAAUCUGGAACUAUGCCUAAAGGGUGCUAAAAGAGUGUCUGCCCUUUGAUCCAGCUAUAGUACUGCUGGGUUUGUACCCCAAAGGGACAAUAAGGAAAAAGACUUGUACGAGAAUAUUCAUAGCUGUGCUCUUUGUGGUGGCAAAAAAUUGAAAAAUGAGGGGAUGCCCUUCACUUGGGGAAUGGCUGAACAAAUUGUGGUAUAUGUUGGUGAUGGAAUACUAUUGUGCUAAAAGGAAUAAUAAAGUGAAGGAAUUCCAUGGAGACUGGAACAACCUCCAGGAAUUGAUGCAGAAUAAAAGGAGCAGAACCAAGAGAACGUUGUACACAGAGACUGACACACUGUGGUACAAUCGAAAGUAAUGGCCUUCUCUACUAGUAGCAAUGCAACAAUUCAGAAGGACUUAUGAGAAAGAACACUAUCCAUAUCCAGAGGAAAAACUGUGGGAGUAGAAACACAGAAGAAAAACAACUGCUUGAUUACAUGGGUCCAGGGGGAUAUGAUUGGCGAUGUAGACUCCAAAUGAUCAUCCUAGUGGAUCCAUCAAUAAUAUGGAAAUAGGUUUUGAUCAAAGACACAUGUAAAACCCAGUGGAAUUGCGUGUUAGCUACAGGAAGGGCUGGGGGGAGGAGAGGGAAAGAACAUGAUUCUUGUAACCAUGGAAAAAUAUUCUAAAUCAUCUAAUUAAAGUUUAAAAAAAUUAAAAAGAAAAUACAAAAAGAAAGGUUUCAACUAUGAACCUUGCAACAAAUGGUACUUGUAUGCCUGUAUCUAAGGAUCAAUUUUACUAAGAUUAGAUGCUCAGCAUAAGAAGUUAUCUAAGUAAUGAGCAUCCACAGCAGCAAUAGCAAUUUAUGAAGGCCUCUACAAAGGCACAGAGAAAUUACAACCCAAUUUGGUUGGUGCAAUAUAACACCAAUAAAAUCAGAGAUUCUUGUAUACUUGCCAUGUAUCAUGUACUCACAAUUCUUAAGAGAGAUUCAUGGGGUAGCCUUGAACUGAUAUUUAGUAUGAUUUUAACACAGAAAGUAAGGGUUUAAAAAAAAAAAGAAGAUAGUUAAAGACUACACAUCACUGAUGACUUAACAAGAAGAAUCUGGGAAAGCAAGAGUAGGAUUUGAAGGUUAACAAAGUUAAAAGAGAAGCUACUGACACUGAGAUUUAGUCAACAAACAUUUUAUAAGUGUCUUCAGCAUGGAGAGCAUGAUUCAGGGCCUUUACUAUGUAUAUUUCUAAUGAUAACACUCUUCAAUGGACGCACUACUGUAAUUCAAUCUGCAAGGAAUUAUAAUUCAAAUUAAAUAUACAUCUUAAAAAAUUCCCUUACCUGAGAGGUAAUUUCAGUGCUUCCAACAUCUUACAUGCAUUUACUAAGUCCUCUGGUGAGAGCAGCUAUUAAAAAAAAAUGAUCUUGUUGGUUUUAUAAAUGAAUAGAUAUGAUGUUAUUUAAACAAACACAAAAGACUACAAAGAGAGAAACUUGUAACUCAAAAGCACAUUUAUUCAAAAUUUAGGUGAUAAGACCUAACUACUUAAAGGGCAAUAUGAAUCUCAAAAGAAAUGAAUGGACUACUUCCUCUUUCAUGACUAGGUCCUUUGUCAGCCAUAAAGUGAAGCUGUGAAUCCAACUAAACUAAUCCCAUCCCCAUUCUCUCCAGGAAUAGAGGGAGGGAGCCUAUGUGUUCCUGGGCAUGCGUCCAUGUGGUUUCCUCUGUGUCAAAUUCUAGGGAUAAUUCCUUUAAGACACAGUUCAAGGAGAGGCAUCUAGUAGCUCUGUGGAUAGGGAGUCAGGCAUAGAAAUUGAAGGUCCUCAAUUCAAAUCUGGUCUCAGAUACUUCCUUCCUGUGUGACCCUGGGCAAGUCACUAAACCCCCAUUGCCAUGCUCUUAAUGCUCUUCUACCUUGGAUAGAUACACAGUAUUGAUUCUAAGACAGAAGGUAAACGCUUUUAAAGGAAAAAAAAAAAGAUGCAGCUCAAGGGCCACCUUUUAUAGGACACCUUUUAUGAUCCUCUCAGCUGCCAGUACUCUCCCUUCCAAACUACCUAGUACUUAACCACUUUGUAAUUGUUCCAUGGGGAUUAUUUUAUUCAUUAUAUUCAUAUCCUCUGUACCUAGAAUGGGGCCUAACAUUUGGUAGAAAUUACUAAAUGUUUACUAUCUGAUUAAAGAGAGCAUUUAGUAAGGCAUGUAAAGUUGGACCUUCAACUUUCCUAUUAUAUGUUAAAUGAUAGGAGGUUUAAAAAAAAGUCAAGACAUUUAUAAAGUGCUCAACAAUAAACUUAUACUCAUACAUAUACACAAGAUUAUAGAAGCAAAAUUCCUUUAGAGCACAUGAAAACUGUUCUAUUUUAAAUGGAAUUCUGUUAAACAGUUACAACACUAAAUCAUAACAUUCAGUCCAAUUUCUUCAUUUCUUAGAUUGAAAAAAGCAGAGAAAGCACAUUUUUAAACUGCAAGAAUGAGAGAAGAAGUAAAGAUGAUGUCCACCCAACAGUACUUUAAACCAGGAGGAAAAAGGUGGAGAUAUCAUAACAACAACAAGAAAUGUGUAUUAAAUGCCUACUAUAUGCCAGGAACUGACUGUUGGGUAAUGAAGACAUAAGUACCAGGAAUAAAACAAACCUAAUCACAAGGAGCACACAUUCUACUGGAAGAGACAAGGCCAACUAUAGAUAUAAAUAUAGCUUAAAUAUAAAGUGAAUAAAUAAAAAUAAAUAUAAAGUAGUUAAAUACAAGACCAUUAGGGAAAGAAAACACUAGCAGUUAAUGAGUUAAAGACAGGCUUUAUGUAGAAUAUGGUAUUUGAGUAGCAUCUUUUAGAGUAAAAGAGGGAGUCUUUCUACACAGGACAAUUAAUUCAAAGGAACAGAUAUGGGAGAUGGAGUAUUGUGUGUGAAGAACAGCUAGAGGGGAAGUUUGGCUACAUUAUUGAGUACAGGAAGGAAGUACUGUCCAGUAAGGCUAGAAAGACAGGCAGUGAAGGCUAAAUAGAGUUUAUAUUUUAUUCUUAAGGCAAUAGGAAGCUGUGGAGAUGAAUGAAGAAGGGAAUCAGAUGCUCAUAUUUCUGCUCAAGGCAAAAUUAUUUUGGCAGCAACAUGGAGGGUGUAUUGAAGUGGUGAGAGACUUGAAACAAGGAAGUCAUUUAGAAGGCUAAGAACCUGAGUGGAGAGAAAUGGGGUAAGAUGAGAGAAAUUGUGAAGGUAGAAUUGGCAAGAUUUGGUAACUGAAUGAAUAUGUAAGGGGUGGGAAAUUGAGGAGUUGAGGAUAAUGCCAAGGUUACAAAUCUGGGAGACUAGCAGGAUAGCUGUACCUUCAAGAGAAACAGGGAAGGGUUUUGGGGAAAAUAGAAUGAGUUCAGUUUUGUACAUUUCCAGGACUUUAGCUAUCUUGAGAACAUCCAGCCAUUCAACCCUUUCCUUGUCUUAGUUCCUUUUGUAUUGGUAUGUGGCAGCUUUGUUUAGGUGACUGAAUUUUUUGAAAUGGAAAUAGAUGGGAAAUAUGGGAAGUCAUGUAGAAUGGGGAGACUUGAAAUGUAAUUGUCACUGUACAACAGGUCAAAUGAAGUUUUCCUCUUUUCAUUACUACUUACUCUUACCAUACACUUAAGGUCUUUGGUAUAACAAGGAACCAGAAGGCACUCUUUACACAACAUUAUCUAAUCACAUAAUUUGAUAUAACUAAGUUAAUAAAAGAUUGAUCCUCUAGGCAACUCCUCAAAUUAGGAAGAAACCUUUCUUUAGAAAUAGAAUCUAUCUUUGAAUAAUAUUCAUCAUAAGAGGAUUUUCUCUGUAUUACAUCAAUAGCAUCUAGACAUAGAAGGAUGUCAGAACUGAAUCCUUACUUCCAUUCCUCGAGCUCGGUUCACCAAACAGUACACUUCCGUGAGUGACAUUAUUCCUCCUCGUUCCUAUUUAAAUAUGAAAUAAGUAAAUUUAAUAUAAAAUAGGGUUAGUAGCAAAGAUUCCCCUUAAUUUGCAUAGCAGUAUUAAAGAUGCAUAAGAAAAUAUGAAGACUAGAGUUAUUUAAAAAGUAAAACCUAUUGAUUACGAUGAGAUCAAUUCCAUAUUCAUAUUUCAAAACUUCUUUUUCAAGUUCAAAGACAGUGUUGGGAUUUUCUUGGCAAAGGUACUGAAAUUGGUUUGCCAUUUCCUUCUUUAGCUCAGCUGAUAGAUGAAGCAACCAAGGCAAAAAAGGUUAAGUGAUUUGCUCAGGGUCACCCAGCUAGUAUGUAAGACUAGAUUUUAAGUCAUGAAGAUGAAUCUUCCUAAUUCCAAGCCCCCUGCUCUAUUCAUUGUGCCACCCAGCUGCCACAUGAUAGCAGAAAAUAAAUAUAAAAAAGUAGAAAACUGUUAGCAAUUUCAUACAAACAAAAUAAUGGCAUAUCAUCUGAGGGUAAAUAAAAAUAAGAGAAGGGGCACUCCUAUCAAGGUUACUGUUAAACACUACCAAAAAUAAGGGGUUUUAAGUCUCCAUUUACCUCUAAAGGCACCUGCAGUAUUCCUGCUAGUUGUUUUGCCAGCUGCAUAUGGUAAUGUGUGCCUGAGCCAUGUGUUUCCCUGGUAACUGGAUUAGCUAUACCCAUGCUCAGUAAGUAGGAUUUAAACCUGAUAGUCUAAAUGGGAAAGAGAAAAAAAACACACACACACACAUAAAUGACAUGGCAGUUAAAAUUUGUUUUCUUUUAAAAUUAAAAUUUUUACUAAACAUCAGUUAAAUGUUUAAUUAAGCACUUCUCUAUUCACUCUCCCCAUCUCCCUCCCCUCCUAACUUCCAGAAUCUUGGAAUGUGAAGGGGCCGAAGGAGCUGUCUAGUCUAGUUAGUACAUGAAUAAGGAAUCCCUUUUCUAAGAUUCAGCCAUCUAACCUCAAUAUGAAGAACUUCAGUGAGGAGAACUCACUAUCUUCCACGGCAGUCCAUUCUUUUGGCAGUUAGUUCUUUCAGUUUUGUCUUACUCUUGGUGAAUGAGGCAUUGGAGAUUUUCUUGGCAAAGAUACUGGAGUGGUUUACCAUUUCCUUCUCCAGCUCAUUUUACAGAUGGGGAAACUGAGACAAACAAGGUGAAGUGACUUGCCCAGGGUCACAGAGCUUUAUAAGUAUAUGAAGCCAGAUUUGAACUCAGGAAGAUGAAUGUUCCUGACACCAGACCCAGCACUCUAUCCACUGUACCACCUAGCUGUGCCAGUUCUAAUCAUUAGGAAUUUUCUUCCUUAAGCUGAAGGAAGAGUAAAUCUGCCUUUCUACAAAUUCUUCCACUGCAUUUAUUAUCUAUCAUUAUUUGAAAUAGGAAAAGGAUUUCCAUUAAAAUUGUGGAUAAAUUUAAUAAUUUAUUUCUUUCUUUCCUUUACCUUGUCAUCUUAUUCCUUCCUCACCUUACUAGCCUGGCAAUUAAGAACAUUAAGGCAACAACAAAACUAUAUUUAAUACCAAUCACAAGGUUAUCAUUAGAAUAAAUGUCCUUAAAAACUUCACCUUCAAAUAAUUUUUGGCUAAAAAUUGACUUUCAAAACAGUUGUAGAAAGCAAUCAUCUUUUAAUUUUUUUAUGAUAUUUCUACCACACUGAUAUCUGUAUUCCAAGAAAAAAAAAACUUAAAAAAAAAUCAACCUGUUACCUGUUACAGCUAACACAAUGACUUUAGAUUCGACAUUUGGGACUUUUGAAGUAUUUUCAUUCUAUUUCAAGGCCCACAAACAGAAACCCCAUGUUAAAAGGCAGACCAUCAAAACAUUUCGUUAUACAAUUUAAACAGAUAUUUAUAUUUUUUGGCUUUUAAUUUAAAAAAAUACAAAACUAUUACUUACUUCAUCUUCUGUGAUGUCACCUUGUUUAUCCUUAAUUUUAUUAGCUAUAGAUUUGGAUAAUUCAACCAUUUCCUUUGCCUGUCAGAAAAAAAAUAGUAACCAUAUUUUCUAUUUACAAAAUAUGCUUAAAAGCAACAUAAUUGUUAUGAAUAUAACAAAUAUAAAUUAAUAUACCUUGACCAUGAGUUUGCUGAGAUCUUCAAAAGCCUGAAACAAAAAACAAUGAAGUUUUAAUGGAGUGGAUCUAAAAGGAUUCAAAGGAAUUAAACAAUGAAAUAAUGUUCCUUUGAUAUUUUCAUUACAAUAUAAAUUGGGUAUGAAAAGAAGCUUUCUCUAAGAAAUAUGUGAAACUUUCUAUUAAUUUGAGGAAUCUGAAAAAUCACCAUUAACACAAAUAUGCUAAAUUCAAUUAGUAAUAUUUUUCAAAACUUCCUCCUUUAGAAGGGAAGAAUUAUGAUCAAACAAAAGAUAGAGAAUAUCAUAAGAUGUAAAAUAAAUAAUUUUGAUUAUAUUAAAUUAAAAAGGGUUUGUACAAACAAAACUAAUCUAACCAAGAUUAGAAGGAAAACAACAAACUGAGAAAAAAUUUUUAUAACAAAUGUCUCUGAUAAAGGCCUAAUUUCUCAAAUUUAUAAAGAACUAAGUCAAAUUUAUAAGAAUAAAAGCCAUUACCCAAUUGAUAAAUGGUCAAAAGGAUAUAAACAAGCAAUUUUUAGAUGAAGAAAUCAAAGCCAUCAAUAAUCAUAUGAAAAAAUGUUCUGUAUCACUCUUGAUUAGAGAAAUGCAAAUUAAAACAACACUGAAGUACCACCUUACACCUAUCAGAUUGGCCAAUAUAGCAAUAAAAUAAAAUGGUAAAUAUUGGAAGGGAUGUGGCAAAUUGGGGCACUAAUGCAUCAUUGGUGGAGUUGUGAACUAAUUCAACCAUUCUGGAGGGGAAUUUGGAACUAUACCCAAAGGGCUAUAAAACUGUGCAUACCCCUUGAUAAUGCCACUACUGGAUCUAUAUACCAAAGAGAUAAUGAAAAACAGAAAAGGACCUACUUGUAUGAAAACAUUUAUAGCAGCUCUUUUUGUGGUGGCAAAGAAGUGGAAAUUGAGGGGAUGUUCAUUAAAUGGGGAAUGGCUGAACAAAUUGUGGUACAUAUUGGUAAUGGAAUACUAUUAUGCUAUGAGAAAUGAUAAGCAAGAUGAUUUCAGAAAAGUUGGAUAGAUCUGAGGGAACUGAUGCAGAAUGAAAUAAGCAGAACUGGGAGAACAUUGUACACAAAAGCAGCAAUAUUGGGCAAUGAUUAUAUGUAAAAACUUGGUUACUCUCAGUAAUGCAAUGAUCUGGGACAAUCCUGAAAGACUUGACAGGGAAUGCUAUCCACCACCAGAGAAAGAAUUGUUGGAGUCGUCUUUCACAAUUGUAUAUCUUUGGUUUUAUUUUGUGGUUUUGGCUACGUAUAAGAGUGUUCUUACAACAAUAAUCAAUAUGGAAGUAUGUUUUGCAUUACAAUUAAAAAACGGAAAAAAUUUUCCUCUUUUUUUAUGUUCAGAUGGUCAUAUCAAACACACACAUAAUGACAAAAUAGUAUUACUAGAUCUAUACAGCUAAAACCUGUUUUAAUUAUUUAUUCAGCUUUUAAUGUUACAUUUCAACAUACUUCAAUGGACCCAUCAAUAUUCCUUCCAACACACCCAUCAUGACUCAUACAUCACAUUACUUAAUUUUAAAUGUUGAACAUCAAUUACCCCAGACUUGCCCAGGACCACACAGCUAGCAUCUAAGGCUGGAUUUGAAUUCUGGGCCCUGACUCUGGGCCCAGCAUUUUUUCCAUUGCCCUAUCUACAUAUUUUUACAUGGGAGGCACUGGGGUAUGGUAAGCACCAAAUAAUAUUUCAAAAAAUAAAAGCUUACCAUAUUCUAACAGGAAAUGUCUAGUUAUUGAUGUGGUAAUCAUUUCUGAAUCAGUUGUCUAUACAAACUAUGGACAUGUUACAGCAAAAAUUAAAAUCAAUGCUAAAUUAGGAGGGAAAAAGAUAUGACGCACAAUUUGGGCAACUUCAACCUGACCUACUUAAAUAAGUUUUUGAUGCCAAAAAAUGGAUAGAAAGCAGAUAUUAAUAUAGAUAUGAUCAUUCCUAAGGAAGUUUAACACAUAAAUCAAUCACCAUAAGGAGGAGACCAAAAAAAGCCUUGAAACCUCCUCUGGUAGCAAACACUUGAUCUUCUUGCCAAGCAAAAAAUAAGGCAGCCAAGGGCAAUACCAAUUUAGAAUAUAAACUCAUUUGUGCUAUCUGAUAGAGAAAGAUGAUAGAAGAUUAUGAGAAGUACUACCUUGCAAAAACAGUAAAAAGCAAUAGAGAAAAAACCAAGACUAUAGAAAUCUUGAAAAGAAUUCCCAAAGGGUAAAACUUGGGGGUAUUUAAGUAUGACAUUAGAAGAGGGAAAGCAAUAAAUGAGAAGUUGAAACAAUUUCUAAAGAUCAGAACAAACCUUUUCUUCGAUCAAUGACAGUGAAGAUACCAUAAAUGUACUCUAAAAUCAUAAUGCCUGACGUACUGCAUGAGAGAGGAGAAAGGACACUAAAGAAAACAGAGAUGGGAUGAGACCAAGUUUAGCAAAGUAAAUCUGUAAUACUGUUAUUCUAGGAUGAUGAGGCUAGCCCUAACAAGGAUCUCAAAGGCCCUUUCACAGAGGAGGAAACUGAAAUCCUGGGAGAUUAAGUUACUUGCCCAAGAUCACCCAGGUAAAAAGUAAGUUCUGAACCGAGGCUCUCUGACUCCAGAGUCUCUUCCCACUAUGCCACCAAUCUGGAGGGCUAUGAAGGACAAAUUCUCAGGAUAUCUGAAGGAAGAAUGUACCAAACACCUGGAAAAAUCACAGAUAUCACUGAUACCACAAAUAGGAAAAUCAAGAAACUAUCACCAACCAAUAACAACUAACCCUUCUCUCUCCUAUAAAACUUUUAUGAAAAGAAUCCAUACUUUCAUUGAAGGCCUCCUUGUGGAGAAGGAAACAAUGAGAUUUUCAUAAUUGCUAUUCAAGAGUAAACACAUCACUGAUUCGAAGACGUGGAAAAUACUAGAUAUUCCCAUAGUCACUCUUUGAUAGCUCUAAAAAAAUUAUAUUUGGUGGACCAAAACAUUACCUUUCUUUAAACCUCUCUACCAACAGGUUACAUCCCAUUCAAUUUUCAAAAUCAUAUGAGAUUGUUUGAAAGAUAAAUCUUUAUUCAGUGAUCUUGUAAUUAUUAAUAACAAUGAAGAAUACAACAGGAAGAUGGAUGUGUGCUCAAAGUGUUUGCCACUGCUAUGGACAAUCUUCAGUGUAAAGUUCAAAUAAAAAGAUGGUAAGGUUUUUUAAUAUGUUUCCGACAUUUCUAUUGACUAAAGGAAGCAUGCUUUAGAAAUUACAGAUCCUAUUAUAAAAGACCCAUAAUCACUCAAAAUAAUUGGGGCUAAUCAUCUAUGUAAGGGAAAAAAGUGGAAAAAGAAUUACUUAUCUAGAGCAUGGAAUGUAUUUGGAUGUUGAAGACCCAUAUUGCUUAGUUCAUCAGUACAUACAUGUAUCUUAGACUUCCAAUCUUAGACUUUGAGAUGGACAAUGAACUGAGCAAUUAAACAUUAAAUUAAUAAAUGGAAGAUCAGGCUGGAUAGAAACAAACAUCUGUCUUUUAAAAAAAUCGAUAUUCUUUCAGUGAGAUUGCAUGGCAAAACUAGUCUCCAAAAUAUUAAAGCUGUGGGUCAGCCAAGUGAAGGGCCAUGAAAAGGCACAUGGCAGAUGUGACUAGGCUACAACCUCUUACCAAGGAUAAAUGGCUUUGAGGAUAUUGCCAGAGAGACAUAAGGAAGGAAAGGAAGUGGGCUGGUCAUAUAUCAAGAACAUAGGAUAAGAGGACAACCAUAUCCCUAGUCAGGAAAUGUCAAGAGCACAAGCAUUUAUUAAGUAGAUGUCUGCAGGCUCUGUAUCAGGAGAGCUGGAAAUGCAUUGAAAGGCAAAAAGUGGCUCCUGUUCUCAAGGGGCUCACAGUAAUUAAUGGGGAGAUAAAUGCAAAUGACUUUAUACAAAUAAGACAUAUAUAGAUACAACAGGUGUAAACAUGAUAUAAAAUGGAGAUCUCAAAAGGAAGCUAAGUUAAAGGGGAGCAGGAAAAGCUUAUAGCAGAAAGUGGGAUUUUAACUGAGACUUGAAAGAAGCCAGGGAAGUGAAGCAAUAAACAGCCUAGGGAACGGCCAGUGAAAAUGCACAACAUUGGGAGAUGGAGUGUGCUGUCUAAGGCUCAGUAGGGGGCUAGUGUCACUGGAUCACAGAGUAUAUGGAAGAGAGUGAGGUGUAAGAAGCCUGGAAAAAGGAGACAGAGGCCAGGUUAUGAAGGCUUUAAAAGCCAUAAACUAUCUAGUGAUCCAGAGAAAGAGCAUUAUUUUGGAAGGAUUUCCCCAGGGAGACUUUACAGGAAGACACUGAUACGAAUCACCCAGAUUGACAAGAAAUGGAUUGGUUGCAGUCUGCACAAAUGGAGGAAGUCCUCAGAGCAAUAAGUCACAGAUUCAUCAAAGUAUCCAAAAAUACUGAAAGUGUACAAUAGUAUAAGAGCACACAGGUUUCACUGAAUCCUGGUGUUUUAAAAAUCAGAAGAAAUCUUCGGAGUCAUCUAAUGCAAUUCUGAUCUAAAGUAGACAACCCUUCUACAAUAUCCUUCAAUAAAUGUGUGGCCCACACAAAUGUUAUUUCUCAUUUAACUAAUCAUCAUGUCUUUAAAAGAAUUGUUUUGAGUAUUUUUUAAUAAGUUAAUUACAGUAAGCUUAUGGCCAUUUCUAUAUAUGCAGAAUAAUGUCCAUCUGCAAAAGGAUUUUGCUAAAUGAAUGGUGUGCUCUGUAAAACUCUUAUGACCACCAAGGGCAGUCCUGGAAACAAAGGGGAAUAUGCACACACCUAACAGGAAUUUCCUCAGAUAAACAAAGGCUAAAAUGUUGGAUUCUUAUCAGCAACCAACAGCAGAUGCAGGAAACCUUUUGUGGGAAACUCUGGGCACCAGCUCCAAAAUUAAGUCAUUUCUAACAUUUAAGGCCUGGGGCAAACUAUAGGCCAUGCUUUUUCUUUGAAUAUACAACCUACACACAAAAAGAUUUCAUACACAUAAGCUUUGGAAAUGCAAAGCACUAAUAGGAUUCUUUCCUUGGCAACAAAGAAAAAGAAAAUGAACAAGAUAAUAUAUUUAUUUUCAAGUUACCUUAUUCAUAUACUAUAUCUUCAGUGGAAAAUGUAAUUUAUAUCUAAACAGGAUUAAAUCCAUAAGGAUAGCAUAAAUAUAAAUGUAAAGCAAUUCUAAUUUACAAACAUUUAAAGUUGGAAGGUCCCUGAGAGAUAAUUUAGUUCAAUACCCCCAUUUUAGAGUUUUGGAAAAUAAGAUCCCAAAGAUGAAAUAACCAGUCCAAGGUCAUACAGUUAGCCUAUGGCAGAGCAGGAACUUGACCAGAGGUCUUUUGACACAGGAUCCAGUUCUCUUUCCACUUAGCCAUUAUAAAUUAAAUAUAGAUUUGAAGUUGCUAUAUUUUAGUAAACACAUAAUUUAUUUAAACUGAUUAUGAAAAUAUAAAUGAAAGUGUCUUCAUUUCUCCCUCCCCCAUUCCUUUAAUAUUUAAAGUCACCUAUCCUGUAAAGUAAAUGAAAGAACUUUACUCACAUUCAACUAAAAGUAAUUUAUAGGGGCAGCUAGGUAGCCCUGUGGAUAGAGUGCCAAGUCUUGAAUCAGGAGGACCUGGGUUCAAAUAUGACCUCAGACACUUCCUGGUUAUGUGACUCUGGGCAAGUCACUUAACUCCAAUUACCUAGCCCUUGCUGUUCUUUGGUCUUAGAAUUGAUACUUUGGCAGAAGGUAAGGGCUUUAAAAAAAGUAUUUACCCACUUGCUAAUGCUGAUUGUUCGUUAUACAUCUGUCAACUUGUAAUCUGGGGGACCCCAAAGGUUGUGUCAAUUUGGCAUCCAGCAACCCCAAGUUUAGUCAGCUUGAUAGCUGGAGACCUCCAAGUUUGCCUUUUUGUCCCAUGAGAGUUUGCCUCUACCGAAUAAUAGACCUUAAGGUAUUGAAUGACCUUAGUUAGAUGGAGUUAGCAGACUUUAAUCAAAUGCUAAAUAUCAAUAUCCUUUUGUCCUAGAAGUUUCUCUUAUUGUAUCAGAGUCCUUUUCCUAGGUGGCCCACCCCUUGUCCAGAUUUUUCCCCUCAGUAUCCAUUGUAAGGUAGGUAGGUGCCCUAGCCUCUGGCUAUGGUUCCUUUCCCAAACUUGAUUGUAUCCUGUCAGUGUAGUCUGAACACUCUCAUUUCUUUGUAACCAUGGUAAUGUCAAUCAAUCAUAUUUCCCUGUCCCUCAGUUUCCCUAAAAGGUAUAUAAAAGUUCCCCAAAUUCUUUUGUUCCUCGGAGCUAUCAUGUCAUGUGGUGAUGUCUCCCAUGGGUCUGUAGCCAGAGUCUUGGGCUCUAUGUAGAUUUUGAGCAUAUAUAUGACUCUGUGUGGAGGCCUGAGGAAAUUGUAUUGCACUACUCUCUGAUUAAAGAGGUAGCUUUUCUGACUAUUUAAUAGUUCUGUGGGAUUUUUUCCAGUUUAACAAUCCAAUAUUCCAGUUUUAAAUUUUUAUUUUUUGCUUUGUCUUUUUUUCAGUGGGUAUGAGGAGAGGUUCAGUCUGUACUUCUGAUUUCAUAGGUUUAGGGCAAUUAUAGUGAAUAAGUUCCUUCUUAGCAAUGUAGGUCUAUAUCUAUUGAAUUUAUAGUCUUGGACUUUUGAAAGGGUGAUUAAGUGACUUGCCCAGCAUCACAAAGUCAGAUGAACAUGAAUUUCAAGUAGCAGGGGUCCUUUCCUCCAGGACACCCUGACUUGGGAUCAGGCCUUCUAGCUCUUCUACAUUUUCACUUUCCUCUGACUACACACCAAUUCCAAGUUUCCCCUGAAAUUCUGCAGAGGGCCAAGUACACAUAGCUGAACAAAGGGAUUGGUUUGAGGGAAGCCCUGGCAAAGCAGAUCCAGCAUAUUGCGUUCAAAUCCUGACUUUGUGUUAUCUGUGGCACCAUAGGCAAGUCACUUAACAUCCUCUUUGUAACUCAGAGAACUCCUGAGAUGUCCCCUAUAUGAAGUUAUAUGCAGGGUACUUCCUUGGUGGAAAGAGUAAACCCUGAGAAACAACAGAUAAUCAAGCACCUCCUUCUGCUCAAACAAGGCACCAUUUCUCCAGGAGUUAGAGUGAGUCAACUCCCAAUGACCUCAGAUCCAUGCUAACUAGCCAAGGUAGCACAGUAUAAUGAGAUGAAUGCUAAAAUAAGACCUAAAAGGCCUAAGACCUGGUCUCAAAUUUACCAUAUUAUCGGCAUGACUCUAGGCAAGUGAAUUCAUCCUUUUACAUCCUUGAUUUCUUUAACUAUAAUUAGGUGGAUCAUAAGACCUGCUCCACCCUCCUUCUAGGGUUAAUAUGAGAACUGAAUGAGAAUAUGUACCUAAAAGCAUUCUGUAAAUUGUAUGCUACAGAUAAAUGAGGUAUUCUCACCUUUAUUAUUAUUAUUAUUAUUAUUAAUUUUAGGAUCAUGUUCCCUAGGACAUCUUCUUUUUCAAAAGAUACUGUCCUAGAUGGAUAGCUAUAAUGCCCUAGAAAUAGUAUCCAUCUAAGAAUUUCUGAGGGACCAAGGUCUUCAUAUAGUAGAUAUUCCUUGGUAGUAGAAUUAGAAUUCUACUUGGUAGUAGAAUAGUAGAAUUCCUUGGUAAGAGAUAUUAUCUCUUUCACAGUGUUUGAAUCCCUAAUACCUAGUACAGUGCCUGGAAGAGAGGGAAUUUAACACUUCAUCUAUUCAAAAAGACUAUAAAUAAAUCUUGGAAAUAGGGAAUUUUACAAGAAUAUCUUAGUGAAUCUGUGCUACAAGCAAUGAUGUGAUUAUAAAAUUUAGCUGCUGUUAGGGGGCUGAAGAAAAUCUGUUUGAAAGUGGCUUGCUUGCCAAGGGGCCUACUGAUCCCAACAUAAAGAAUAUGCUAAUUAAAAAGCAUCUUUCUUUUAACUUUCAGAUUUGAAUAUCUCUGUAUCAGAGCUACAGAGUUCCUCUGUGCCUGGAAUGUCUUUUCCCACAUCUCUGCCAGUUGUAAUUCUACCCAUUUUUCAAGGCCCAAUUCAAAUGCCAGUUAGCCUUACAUGGUCCUCCCUAAAUUAGAAUUCCUCCCUCCUACAAAUUUUCAUGGUACCUACACCUCUCAUUCUCUUUCACAUUCUACUUUGUAUCAUAUUUAUUUGCAUUUUGUCUAAAUGUUGGUAUACUGCCUAUUUUGUAGUUUUAUCUAAAUCUCCCUAUUAGACAAUAAGAUCCCUCCAGGUUUAUGUUACUACUCUUACAUUGACUGUGGAACCGAAAGAAGAAUGCUAGAGCAGAAGUCAGGAAGAUUUCAAAAUCCACCUCCAAAAUUGGCUGUCACCAUGGACAAAUCACAACCUCUCAGUCAGUUUCCCCAUCUGUAAAUACCUGUAAUACCUACCUCACAAGACUAUUAUGAGGAUAAAAAGAAAUAAUACAUGUAAUGUGCUUUGCAAACACUAAAGUGCUAUAUAUGAACAUCAGUGAUUGUAUUUUAUCUACCUUCCCCAAGUUCUAUAAUAUUGGACUUGUUCAAUAAAUACAUAUUGCAAUGAACUAAUUGCCAACUUAAGUCACAAAAAGUUAAUCAGUGGAAUCAAUAUGAAUAAAUCAAAAGAAUUAAUACUUGGAACCUUCUACUCAAAAGCAUAUCCCUAACCAAUUAAGCUAAAACUUCAAAAGAAGUAGAUAUAUCUUCCUUUAAUUUCUUUCUGAAAAAAAGUGUUUGAUUAAAAUCACACCUGUGAUUUAUGCACCCACAUACAUAGCAGUUUAUAGAAUAAAAUGAGUCACAGCAGUAUCUAAAAACAACAAUAAUUGCAAAUAGGCUCAAAGGAAAAGGCGACCUGAAAACAGAGCAAUAAUUACCUCAGAAAUGUUUUUGUCUGUUUCUUUUCUCUUUUCUUCUAGCUUCCUUUCAAUUCCUACAAUUCCUACAGCUCUUACUCUUCCUGGCUGAAAAACAAACACACACAGGAUUCAGGAAGGAAAUUUCAGACCUUUUUUACCCACCACACAGUGUUUCCAGUAGAGGAAAAGGGUCUACAAAGAACUCAAGUAAAACCAUGAAUGAGGCUGUCAAGAGAGUAUACUCUUUUAUCCAACUUCCUUUCAAACAUCCCUUUAUCAGAUGGGUAACUAGCUACAUUCUCUGAAUAUUCAGAGAAAAAAAUAAACAUAAACAAAAGUACCUAUUUACCCCAAUAUUUUUAGGUAUGUUAUCAAAGCUUCCAACUUUCCCCCCAUGUUUCUGUUUCUUGUAAUUCUUAUGAUGAGUGUAGAAUAGAAAUAAAAAUGCUAAAAUGGAAGUCAGGAAGCCUUCAAAAUCCACCUCCAAAAUUGACUGUCACCAUGAACAAAUCACAACCUCUGAGUCAGUUUCCCCAUCUAUAAAAUAUCUGUAAUAUCUACCUCACAAGACUGUUAUGAGAAUCAAAAGAAAUAAUAUAUGUAAUGAGCUUUGCAAAUAAUAUAGUGCUAUAUAAAUGUCAGUAAUUGCUAUUUUUAUUAUCAUUAUCUGAACUAAUUAUACAAUAUAUACAGGCUUUUAAAUGAAGGGGUCUCAAAUUGUCAGCUCUUUUGUCUUUUGUUAUUACAGUAAUUACAGAAGCAGUUUCUAUGUAUGUCAAUAUCCUUAUAUAAUCAUAGCAAUUAAUUUAGGCUAGUUUGACAAAUUCCCUUCAAUACAGGACUCUUUCUAGGCAUCAAUAAAGAAAUAAAAUUUAAAAUGUUUAUUUCCAUUAGACAAUAAAACCUUGUUUUUUUUUAUCAUGAAUCAUUUGGGGGGGGGAAAAAGAAAUUAUAUUACGUUACAGUAUUAGGAUCCAUUAGGAAAUGUCAAUAGUUUAAAAAAUACCUCUUGUCCAUUCUUCCUUUGCAUUAAUUGGGACACUGGCAUAUUCUCCCAUCUUCUGUGAGUCAUUUCCUCUGAUAAACGCCUAUAAAACUGUGUGUGUAAAUAAGCAAAUUUAAGAUCAUCAAUCUAUAGAAUCCUUCUAUGUCAUUACUUAAACUCUCUUCAUUUUGUUACAAUAUCUUAACACUACUCCAGUCUCUCUGCAUGGUGCUCUCAUAAACAAUUCUUUUCUGAGGGCACCAGCAGAAAGAACUAGCUGUUUAUACAAGCUGAACUAUUCUCAACAAAAAUGUCAUUAAGUUACAGAGCUCUUUCAAAUUACAUUUUAUUUGCUUACCAUGUAGUUUGUAUUAAAGUGAAUAUAAUGUCAGAAAUAAUGUAUAAACAUUUUUCAAAAAGGGAACUGGAAAAUAAUAUAUCUAGUUAAAAUCUGAAGGCAGGAAUCAGGAACCAAAGACUCCUAUCUUUGCAAAAAGGAGAUGGUGACUUUUAGCUACACUAAUGACUCCAAUCACUCUAUAAUCUUUACUUAGUAUCUACUGUGUACUAGAUGCUCUAAAAAGAUUUUUUUUAAAGGCAUGAAAAAAAUAGCUGGAGAAUUAAACCAUAAAUGCAAAAUGACUUGUAAAUACUUUUUAAAAAAGCAACAUACCAACAAUUAGACAUUAAUGUAGUAGAAAUUAAGUAUACCAAACACCAAGAGGGCAAAAUGUCAAGAAAUUAGGUCAUCAGAAUGGGGUGAGGUAAAGAGAAAUCAAGGAAGGCUUUGCAGAAGUGUGUUUUGGUGAAGUCUUUCAAGAAUAACUGCCUCUCCAAAAGUUAUGAACCAUGCUCUUAGAAAUCAGUUUGUCAAUGUGCUCUAGGUAUGUGUGUGUAUAUAUCUGUAUCUAUAUCUAUUUUUUAAUGUGUAUAUCUAUCUAGUCACAAAUGUAUGAGUAGUUGUCUAUAUUUACUUACAUUUACGGUUCUUUCAUCAAGCCAUUAUAAAGGUUUUCCACUCUAAUCUCUUCCACUAUCUUUACUUCCCCAAUUCCUCUGUACUUAACUACUUAUGUGUAGGCCUUUAAUAACUUUUCAUACUUUCUCCUAGUAAACAAAAGGCACAAUUGAAAGAAAUGAGCAGCCUGUAGCCUUCCAUAUAACUGUCACUGCAUCAUGCUUUCACCUUCAAACCUUAACCUGAUUAAGUCUAUUCUGUCAGGGAUCUGGUGAGAAUAAAUGACAUGCACUAGUAUCUAGUUCUGGUCUACCUUUUAUUCUCAACCCUCCAUAGCUGGUGAAGGGACAGUGGAAUAAGACAUCACCAUGGGAUGAUAUCUAACUAGCUGAUUCUCUGAACAUGCUUAGGACAGUGUGUAAUACACUAAAAAGAGUAAUGGAACUGGAGUGAGGAAAAACCGGUUCAAAUCUCAUCUCCAUCACAAAUCGCUGUUAUGUUGCUGUGUGAGCUACACAUUGUAUGUAACUGAAACAUGCAAUUGCAUGCCCAAGGCUCUCUCAAUCAGUUGUCAAUAAACAUUUGUUUAAGCACUUACUAGGUACCAGGCACUAUGCUAAGCAGUGGAGAUACAAGAAUGGCAAAAGACAGUCCCUGUUCUUGAAGAGUUCAUAAUCUAAGAAAUAACUAUAUACAAACUACAUACACAAUAAAUCAAAUUAAUCACCAAAGGGAAGGUACUGGAAUUAAGAGGGAUUAGGGAAAAGCUCCCUAUAGAAGGUAAGAUUUUAGCUAGGACUUAAAGGAAUCCAGGGAAGCUAAGAAGCAGAGAUGGGAAUGGAAGAAUAUUCCAAGCAUGGAGGACAGUUGGUGAAAAUGUCCUGAGUCAAGACAUGGAAUGUCUUAUUUGAGGAACAGCAAGGAGGUCAAUGUCACUGGAUCAAAAAGCAUGUUUUUGGAGGAGUUGAGAGGAUAUGUGUGUAAUGUGAAAUAAGAAUAAAAAAGUUGGGGUUAGGGAAGAGGUUAUAAAGUGUUUUGAACAACAAACAGAGGAUUUCAUAUUUUAUUUUGGAGGUAAUAGAGAGUUAUUGGAGUUUAUUGAGCAGGGGAGCUGACAUGGUUAGUCCUGUGCUUUAGGGAUAUCACAAUGAUAAAUGAGUGGAGUAUGGAAUGGAGUUGAGAGAUUCAUGUAGGAGGCUAGGUAGCACAGUGGAUUAAGUGCCAGUCCUGAAGUUGGGAGGACCUAGAUUCAAAUCUGAUUCUAGACACUUCCUACCCAUUUGAACCUGGAUAAUUCAUUUACUCCUUUUGCCUAGUCCUUGCCCUUUUGUCCUAUAAUCAUCACUAUGACAGGGGGUUUAAAAAAGAGAGACUCAAAGCAGUGCUACAAUUCCACACAGAAAAGAAUAAUGUGGUCCAAGUAAAAAAAAAUUCAAGAAAUUGUUAUGAUUAAAAUUGUCUGGAGACUGUAUCCUAGUUUAUAAUUAUAUAUCAAAUAACAAAAAGCAGGCCAGAAAAAGAAAAGGAAUAAGCCAUGUAUGGCCAGCUACCUUCCUUUCCAAAAUCCAGACCUAAGGGCAUACCUACUCACUCCAAUUUCAAGUGGAAAAGCCGCUAUUUCUUCUCUGAACUCAAAUUUAUGCUCUUCCUGAUGUCCCUUUCCCAAUGUCUUUGAUUGAAGCACUUGGACCUCACUCUUGAUAAGAGAUGGGUCUUCACAGAAGACAGACCUUUAGAAUGGCCAAACAACAGGCAUGUCCACUUUUCUCUGCCACACUAUUUUAAGAGGUUUGCUUACAGGUAAACAAAAAGUUUUGUCUCCACCCUUAUUCAGCAAAGGAGUGAGAAAAGCAUGUGGUAGCUUCAGUCUUAAGAUUAAACUUUUUUUUCCUUUAAAAUUCAAAGGUUAUCUUGGGGUGCCAAAAAGGGGGUAGAGGCUAAUGUUAAAAUUUCUACAAAGCACUAUUCUCAACCUUAAAAUUACAUACAAGGAUUGGCUAUUAUUAUUAUUAUUUGGUCUUUAUCACAAUUAGUUCUUCGCCCAUUACAAUACAGAGAAAUGUAGAAUUCUUUUUUUAAACCCUUGCCUUCCAUCUUAGAAUCAAUACUGUGUAUUGCUUCCAAGGCAGAAGAGUGGUAAGGGCUAGGCAAUGGGGGAUUAAGUGACUUGCCCAGGGUCACACAGCUAGGAAGUGACUGAGGACAGAAAUGAAACCAGGACCUCUUGUUUGUAGACCUGGCUUUCAAUCCACUGAGCCACCCAGCUAUCCCCUAUAUUUCUUAUUAUUAGCCUAUAAAACAAUAUUUUAAGAAAUAAAUUAAAAUAAUCAUGAGGGGGAAAUGCACACUGUAUGAUGUUAAUUUCUAAUAUGUACCAGGUAUUUGACAUUUAUACUUUUUUUUUUAAACCUUACCUUCCAUCUUAGAAUCAAUACUAUUUAUUGGUUCCAAGGCAGAAGAGUAAGGGCUAGGCAAUGGGGGUUAAGUGAUUUGCCCAGGGUCACACAGCUAGGAAAUGUCUGAGAUCACAUAUGAACCCAGGAUCUCCUGUCUUGGGGCCUGACUCUCAAUCCACUGAGCCACCUAGCUGUACCUAACAUGUAUACUUCUAAUCAAAUUGACAUCUACAUUAACUUACCUCAAUCUGGCCAUGCUCUUUGAAAGAAAGUUUAAUGUAGGAGCUCUUGCUGCUUUGGAAAGGGCCAGGCUCUUUGUUGGAAGAAGCUGGGUGAAGAUGAAUCACUAUUUUGGCACUAAAGAAAGAACAUCCAUUAAAUAUAACAUUGCCUUUAAUAAUAAUUUUGACUAAUAUUGAGUAUAUUUCAGAUCACAUCUUAUAAAAGUUCAAAAAAAGGAAACCCAGGAUAUGGUUAGUGCUAAAGAACAAAUAAGAAUGGCGUUCAAACCUAAACAUUUAUGGCAUAAGAAUCAAAAGAUUCUAAGAAAUUGGCUUUAUUAUGUAGAUUAAAUAAGACUUUUUUAGAAAAUAAAAUCAAAGUGAGAUUGCUAUACUUUAGGCAGUGCUCAUUCAGGGCUUUUCAUUAGUAAAAUCAUCCCUAGAAGUUAUAAAAUGACCUAUAACUUCUGCCAAAGCAUACUACCUUAGUUAAAUGAAAAUAAACUGGUUUCAUUAAUAGGACAUUAACUUAUCUGCAUAAAACCAGCCAGCCAACAUUUUUUGAAUACAUCCAAAACUAAUAUUUUACACUAUCACUUAUGGGAAAAUCCUACAUCAACAACAUGAUUUAGAAAGAUACCUCAGCAAAAACAACUCUGGAAACAUUAUUGCUCUCUGUUAUGAAAAAAGAUUACUAUAUUUGCUAUGCUUAAUUUACUUUAUCUACUUCCUCCCUCUUUUUCCUAACUGACUAUGGAUAGUCAAUGAGUCAAAAAACUGUUCCUAAUGAUUAGGAAAGAAAUCCAUACAUAUAUCUAGUUCACGGCCCUCAUAAUUCCUUUAUCCUCUAAUAAAGUCCUACUCCAAUGCUUAACACUGAGACACAGAGGAAUCCUGCGCUUUCAAACAUUAGGCCAACAGAGAACAAGCUCUGGCAAGUUCUACAAGCAAGCUGGGAAAAUGGCAAGUAAAACCUUUCCAAAGACUUUAUGUCUACUAACUCCCAACCUUAUAAAGCAUGGAAAACCAUAUUACCAAGAGGUGAUUAAAUUUUUGAGUCAGAGCAAUCCAUAAAAUGGUCUCCUAAGGCAUAGAGGUACUGUGAUUUUCAUUGGUGUAAAGAACACCCAAUGAAAAAAAUCAAGAGACUUUCUGAUGUACCGAAUUCUUUUUUAAAAGAGUAGUUUACUCAAAAUGGGUCAGUUGAGCAACUGCUUCUCUAUUGGAAAGGAUGAUUUGAUCAGAUCCUAUCCACACAAUUGCCCAUAAUAUUGUCUGAAUAAUACCAAGCAACUGAAUUUAUUGAGUAAACAUACUGUAAGCCUACUGGAGGUAUCAAACAUUUUAAUGGUACAGUGAAAACUAUGUAAAAUAUUUUGGCACUUAGAAACAUUGUGAUACUCAGCAAUUCACUUAAUCUCUACAAUCCUUGGUUUUCUCAUUUGUGAAAUAGAAAUGUAUUCCCUGUAACAAUGACCUUGCAUAGUUAUGUAAGGAUCAAAUGAGAUAACAUCUGCAAAGCCAACUGCAACAUUCAAAGCUCUAUGUGUUUCAAUUUAUGUUUGAUUGAUUCUUAAAUAACAGCUACAUGUUGAGCUCUGGGAAGAAAACUAAAAGAAAAAACUGGGCAAGAGUAAUUGUAGUCAUAAUUUGAAAUCAUUCAUCUUGCAAGGCACCAAAGCCACAGACAUAGAAAUCAUAGCUAGGUUGGCUCUGACUGGACAAAAGCAUUAUGCAGUCUCUAAAAAUGGGCUGUGCAAUCUGAAGAAGCUGUGAGAUGUGCCAAAGACCACAAAGAGAAGCAGAGGCAAGAAAACUAGACAACUUGAAUACAGUACCUAAAAGAACCACAAGUUUUGGAUUAAAAGAGAAUAGUUUUCUGGUGCUUAAAAUAGGGGAAUGAUUGAUUUUCCCUCCAUUUCACUGGAGAAAUCUGAAAACUAGACAAUCAUUUGACAGUAAAGAGAGACACAUACUACAUGAUUUGUAUUUCCCUGCAACAGAGUAACAUUACUCAAAGCACUCUUCACACACAAUUUUCUAUUAUUUCAUUAAGUGAGGACUGAAGUGAUAAGCAGCAAUCAUAAAAAGUUGAAAGUCUAGUAUGCUACCAUUCUACUAGGACUACUGGACACACUGGAGGCAGACUGCCCAACUGCCCAUACCUCCAAAGUUCACACCAGACAGAAGAGAAUUCAAGAAUUCUACAGAGGAACUAAACUCCAGUAGGCGAUUUCUUCCUCCUCAGAACCAUACAAAAGGUCACUGGAAUGGGGGCUGCAAAUAAAGUCCAUGUCAACACAGUGAAGCCUCCUAGCAUGACCAAAGUGGCAGAGACACAGCUCUGUGUUCAGAGGCAGCAAGAGUACAUGAUUCUUUUGAGAAAGUCUCAGGAAAAGGUUGUGGAUGCCCAGGGAGCCUAAAAGACAAGUUACAAAGCAGUGCUGCAGCACUCAAACCAAGAAAUCUCAGGACUCUGAGGUCCCAAAUGUUCUGACCUAAGAGAUCAGAGUGAGCCCUAUGAUUAGAUAAUAAUCUAAUGCUCGGAACCUCAGAGAUCCAGAGGUAGAUUAUGAAGGGCUUUAAAAGCCAAUUAGAAGAUUUUAUAUUUGAUCUUGAACAUAAUAGGAAACCACUGGAGCUUUGUGAAUGAGGCUUAGGGAGGGAGUUAAAUGGCCAGAUGUGGUUUACAGUAAGGGCAGAAAGUUGAACAAGGAAGGUUAUGGCCAUAGGUAUAAGAUGAUGGGGAUCUGCCACAGACCUUUGGAAGAGGAGAGAAGGAAACUAAGACAAAGGAUGAUGUGAAGGUAGAGUGGCAAUGAAGAGAACUUAGGUAACACUGGAAAAAAGAGUUUUAGCUGAAUACCAAGGUCAGAAGUCAGAAUGCAGACAGAAAGUAGAAGGGCUGGGAAGAUGAGGGAGAAAUGGGCAAUUUGUAGGCAAGAGUAGCAGAAAGAGACUGAAGAUGAGUGAGAAGGUGGUAUAAUAAUCUGCUGAGGGAGACAGGAUGCUAUCAUUUGUGCACACAGAGGGUUUUGCCUUGGCAUUUCUUUAUGUGCAUGAGAGUGGGGAAGACAUCUGAGAUGAGGGGCAGGAGAGAAGAGAGUUCAAAGCAAACAGGCUUCAAAUUUUUCAGGGAAGUAUGAGAUAAGGGUUUCAUCUGAGGGGGUAAGAGAAGUAAAGGAGUUUUGAGGAUGGAAAAGUCACUGAGAAUGGGAUGAUUAAUCCAUUGAGGAGGUUAAAAAGGAUACUUGCCUACAGUGAGGGUUCAGAAUAUAUAACAUAAAUUGGUAGUGGAUUCAAUCAAUAGUUUCUCCAAUUUCAUUCAGCAAUAUGUGAGCAGGAAUGAAGGUUAACAGAGGUCACAAUGAAGACAAAGAACAGAAUUAGAGGUUGUAAGACAAAGAGAAGGUUGAAAUGAUAAAAGAUUAUGAUCUGAUAAAAAGGAAUUUCAAAGUUCACAAACAUGCAAGUGGAAUGAAUACUUGUGGAAGAUGUCAAGAUAAAGGAUAUGAUCAGCUCUUUAUUUAAUUGAGGUGGAGUGGAUGAGGUAAGUAGGUCAUGGGAAAUAAGCCAACUGAAGAAUUUGGAAAUUAAGGUGUCCAUCAAUUUCAUGCUUUCAAAAACAAAAUCUAAACUUAUUAAUACUGGGCAUAUUUGGUCAUUUGAGUCAAUGAUGUCACUUAUAGCAGCCUAAAAAACAGAAAUUGAGAAGGAAAUAUUAUAAUCAGCUUCAAGGAGAAGAUAUUUUUUCCCUUAUAUACUUUUACAAGCUUUUAUAUACGUGUUAAGACAUCAUUUUAUGCCAAGCAGACAAGUAUAAUCUCAAUUUUACAGAUGAGGAAACUGAGACAGAUAGAGAUAUCUGAGGCUGAAUUUGCACACCAAUCUUCCUAACUCCAAGUCUAGCAGUCUAUCCAUUGGGCUAGCUAGUUGCAACUCAUUAUGACAUAAUAGGAAAUCAACCACCAAAGAGAAAAGUUUAAUAAAAACAUAUUAAACAAACAAGGAUCACAUGAAAUCUUACCUUUUUCCAAUACCAGCUGCUUGCUCUUCAAUGAAUACAAUUUGGGAAAGAGGAAUAGCAAUGCAACAUUCCUAUGGUAUAAUCAAAACAAAAGAAGAGAGUGUGAGAUUCAAUUUAUCUGGACACUUUGCUGUACAGCAUUCAGUACUCAGGGUCAAAUUAGCAUUUAUACAGCAUAUACUCUGGGCCACAUUGGGAGUAUUACCAAUUGUACUCUAAGCAGCAUGUGCCAUCCACCCUGAAGAGGGUCCUUUUGGGAGAGGGAGAGACCAACUCAAAACCAAAGCAGAAACCUGUCAUAUUCCCUUAGGUGAUGGCAGGGGAUGUUACCAGUCAUUCCUUAGUCAAAUUCAUUCAGACUCAAGACUAAUUUCAUGUUUACUUUUGACCAUAACAACAUGUAUAAUACCAUAUAUUGCACAAUGAGUACCACAUAUUGAAACUCUUUUUUGCAAUGUAUAUUAAAUCAAGAAUUUUUAAGAAAUGUAAAAAAAAAGACUAAUUUCAUCGAAUUUAUACAAAAAAGAAUCACAAAAACCCAAGUCCUUAACACAGAAAAAAGUAUGAAUAUAGAAAAGAAGCAAGAAAAUUUGAGGAUAGUGAAGAGGGAGUGAAGGGACCUGGGUUCUAUUUUAGUUCUACUAAUGUGUGACAAAGACAAUAAAACAAUCAGAUAACGAAACAAAGUAGUAACGAUUAAAUAGCAAGGUGAGAAGUAGAGUCAACAAGAGUCACUGAAGUUCAGAAGAAGGAGAAAUCAGUGAUUAAUAAAGCCUUUCUGCAAACUCCUUACAACUGCUUUGGUCCAUCUUUUUAAAAACAAUGCUCUGAUGCCACCUGGCUGUAAAUCUUGAAUACCAAACUUCUGGGAGAAUUAAAACGACAGAGGGUUUUAAAACAUCAUAUUUCUAAUAAUAUUCCCAAGAAGUAGAUUAUCUUAGAAGGGGGAGUGGGUCUAAUGAGCAUGAAGUGUUUUAACCUCUUCAGAAUUAGGGUAUUAUAUAAACAAAACUCAGAAUCAACCUGUCCAAAAGUCUUUUAAAAAUAGGAAUAUUUUGAAUCCUGCUGGAUUAAUUCAAACUUAUUUCAAGCUUAUAAAGUACUUUCCUUGUAAUUAUUCUGUUAGUUGGUAUUGCAAGUAUUAUUAUUCUCAUUUUACAAAUGAAGGAAUGGAGGGCCAAAAAAAGUGUGGCUUGUCUCUAUCAUCCAGCUAGUUAAGUGCCAAUCAGUCAAUCAAUAGACAAUGAUUCAGCACCUCCUCUUUACUAGACCCAGCACUAGACCUUGAAUUCACAGGAUAUUCCAAUCCCAAUAUCAGUACCCUCUACAGUUGGGGGAAGAAACGGUCAUUUCUCAAAGUCAUUACAAAGAAAGGCCUGAUUUUAUCUAGCUCAUCUUCUCCCAUGGAAAUGGGAGAAGAUAGGCAGUUUUGUUUUGUGCCCUCAGUAAUAGAGGGAAAACUAUUUUUCCUUCCACAUAUAUAGUAAUGCUGUAGCAUUACUGUUUAUAUAUUUAGAAGCAAUGCAGUUCCAAUAGAAUUAUGACAAUUGUGGAAAAUUGGAGAACUUCCAUGAUUCUUCCUAGUUUCUACAGAAUAUCCAACUAGGUCAGACUCAUGUGGAGUUAAAUGAAAGUAAGAGCAGAUAACAAAAUUCAGUGUCAGCUUCAUCCUAAUCCAGUUUCCUCAGGAAAGUAAUGUGUAACUUUUGUAAAUCCAAGAUUUAAACAAUUUUUGAGAUAAACUUCAGGAAAAGAAGCUUGCUAACUCCUCAGAUCAAGAAAGUGAACUGUUUGAAGAAAGUACCCUAAAGAAACCUACACUGCAUCAGAAGAUCCAGAAUGAACUUCAGGAUGUAAUUGAUUGAACUGAAGGGAGUUGAACACAUUUAUUCUGAAUGUAAACUCUUAUGCUAAAGGGGAUUGCCCCCUAAUUAGCUUUUCUCUUCUAUUUCCCUCUUAUCUCCAACUAUUGUAGUUUCCUCUUAGAAAGUGCAAUAUUGAACGCACCUUUAGCUAGAAGGUCUUUAGAGGUAUAAGCCAAUUAUGUUAAACAAUUCAUUGGGGAGACUAGUCUCCAAAAGAAUCACAGGGGGAACUGUGAAAAUAGGAUGCACUCUCCCCUUGUCUAUUUUUAGCUUAUCAAAUCAAGAACUUAAAGUAUUGCUACUUACCAUUAAGUAUGAGAAUUCAGAAGUCACUUACUAGAAUAAGUGACAACUCCAAAGGUCACUGACCCUCCUGCCCCACCUUGGGCAGUACUAGACAAAUUGAAAGACUGCCAUUGAUUUCUGUGAAGGGGGAGUGACAGGAAGUGACAGAAAGUGACAUGGAAAAAAGGGGUAUAAAAAGAGACCAACAUGGUCUAGCAUGCAUUCCUUUCCUGGCUUCUAGAGAGACUGAUUCCUUUCCUGACAUUUGGAGAGAUUGGUUUCUGAGAUUCCUGCUUUGGCCUUGGAGUAGGCUGCAUUGGUGGAACCUUAGCACCCUGGUUGAAGACACCACUGGGACUUCUGGCUUGGAGAGAUUCCUGCCUUGGUGGCUCCGUGAGUAGACCCUCUCUGCUCAUUGGCACUUCAGUGGGACACUCCCUUCAGUGUGAGUUUGGUGGAGAGACUCUUUCCUUGGAUCUUGUAUCAGCUUGCUGAUUAGUCGAUGUGUACUGAGAAGAAGGACCCCGGCAUCAAAUUUUAUCUAGAAAGAAGCAUUGGAUAAAAUUCACUGAUGGUAUUCAAAAUUCUCAUAUGCCUAAAUUACUCAAUAAUAUACUCAAAUACUUAACUGGAUCUGUCAUCUAAUCAAUUUAGGAGCCACCUAGCUGCCCCCUGUGGACAUUUUAAAAAGAGCUACAGGCAUAACUGAUAAUGUAGUAAGUGUUCCUUUGUUAUGUAAAGUAACUUAUUGCAAAAUGAUUCAAUAUAAAAUUUUUAAGGGCAGGUAGGUUGCUCAGUGGAUAAAGAGGCAAGCCUGGAGACAGAAAGUUCUGGAUUCAAAUCCAACCCCACUUUCUAAUCAUGUGACCCUUAGCAAGUCAUUUAACUUAAGUCAUAGACCUUACUGCCCUUCUGACUAAUCCUUGGUAUUGAUGCUAAAACAGAAGGUAAGGAUUAAAAAAAAAAAACUUAUUAAAAACCAACUGACUGCUAAAGUGGGUACUAAGUUCUAAAGUGCUAAAAUGGGUACUAAGACAAAAGAAGAAUCAGUUUACUCUCAAGGAGCUGCCAUUCUAUUGAUUACAUUCUAAGUCUAAUCAAAGAAAGUGAAAUUAAUUUUUAUAAAAAACACAUGUAAUUCAUCCAUAAUUCAUCUAUAAAUAAAUGUAGGUUUUAUAAAUAGUCAUUUCUUGACAUUCUUGGGUUUCACAUUCAUGUUUUCAUUAUUCUCCAUUGAAUGGCCACUGAUAAAUAGAUGAGAAUUUUUGGAGAUUUGCUAUGUACUUUAGAAUAUCACAGGUAUAUGUAAAGAAAACUAAAAAUAAAACUUAGUCAAUCAUAAAUGCAUAAAUACUGUGUUAUAUAUCUAGUUUAUCAUUUACUACCGUAAGUAGACCCACAUUAAUUUAUUAUAAGCAGUUAAAUUUUAUUAAGUUUCAUUGUACUAAAGGACUACUCUCUUUGGGAAUACCUUUUUGUCUCUCUACAAUAUAGACCCAGUUAGGUGAUAUUCUCCUGCAAUAAUCACUGUAUCUUGUGCUUGAUAUAAGUAAAUCCAUGAAGCAGUUGUUAAAGCUACAAAAGCUGCAGGAAAAGCUCUGUAUAGUGGUUAAGAUAUUAAUUUCUCCCAUAGAAAUGACAAAUUUUUAAUGGAUGUGAUGUGUUGUUUUGCUUUUGUUGUGUGUUAAGUAAAUAUGAUUGGAAUGAUUAAAAAUAAAAGUUUGGGAUAGGGCCUAGAGUUAUUCUCCAUUUUUCACAUUUGAGGGGGUACAGCAUCCCUAGCCAUUGUGAAUAUCAAGGGAUGACUAAUAUUUUCUUAGUGUAAGAUUAUAUUAGAAUGGGGUCACAUUUUUAUUUCUAAAUGAUAAAAUUAAUAAGAAGAAUAAAAUAAUGUCAUUGAUAUCAAUACAGAUAAUGAACCUUGAGUUUGUUCCCUGACUGGGCCAAAUUAUUCCUCAUGUAGCCCAAAUCUUCAGAACCUCAAAAGGCAGGAACUGUACAUGAAGUAAAUAUCUCCCACUUAAUUGUUAAUAGUAUUGAUAUAAAACUUCCUGGUGCAUUGUUAAGUUUGAUUUAAAAUGUCUUUAUUAGAAAAAACUCUGGACAGUACAUGUUCUUCAUCUAUUUUGUUUUUCCACUGUAGAUGGUCAAAACUUUGAGAGGACAAUUUUUGUAGACUAAUAGAAAUAAAAUCCAGAUUAAAAGAAAGGAAAAAAUAAUUUUAAAAGUAGCUGAAAUUUAUAUUGUGCUUUUAAAGUUUACAAAUACCAUUUCACUUGAACUUCCUAAAAACCCAAUGAGCUAGAUAAUAUAGUAUAACCCCGAAUUUAUAGAUUAUGAAGUUGGGCCAUGGAAAGGUAACAUUAUUUGCCUGUUCUCACACAAAUAAUUAGGAUAAUAAACGGGCUCUGAAUUCAGGUCCCUCCAGAUUCCAAAUCCAGCACUUGGGUGUGGUUGGGUUUUCCUCAGGAAUUUAGUAGUGAAAGGAGGAGAGAAAUGACACAAUAGCCAAAGAAGGUACAAAGGUCAUAAAAAAAGAGAUCUGAGCAUUUUUACAGGAAGAUAAGGAGAUAAUAGAGAAGCAAGAAUUGAAGACUGAGGAGAAAAGGGAUAGCUAUCAAUAUCUUGGGAGUGGUGAGGGAUGAAUAUCAAAGAUACAGGUAAGAGGGGUCAUUAACAACAUGUAAAGAUAAAGUGCUGCUAUUUUAAGUGACAGAAAUUAUAAUAGUUCCCAUUAAUGUUCAUAAGAGAUACUACACAUAUGCAUAUAAUAUGUAUGUCUGAAACUUUCAGAACAAUCUAGUUAAAAGUAUACCAGUUCUAAAAAAUAUUUUAAAAGUUACUUUUUAAAGGCACAGUCGAUGUGACAGAUAACUCAAUGUUACAUGGAAAAAGCCAAAGGCCUGGGAUCUAAACUUCAUAAAUAAUUUAGGUUUCCUUCUACUACAGGCUUUUAAGAGUUGGUCAAAUUCUAUUUUAAUUCCUUUGUUACUGAAUUACUCUCAUUAACUUUAAAACUAAAUGAGGAAACUGCAAGAAAAGUAAUUUAAUACAUGAACUCUAUCUAGUGGCCAUAAAAGGAACAUCAAGUGCUUCCCAGGCACUGUGCACAUACCCAAUAAUCUCCAGGUAAAAUAACUGGGUCUUCUAGAGUGGUCCAAUUGUAAAACCAGAGAAAGGCUGUAAUGCAGGAAACUCAGCUAUGCCAACAAUCACCCACAGUGACUAGAACAAGGCUAAGACGUCUAAGCUGACAAAUAUGAUGGAGUAUACCCCAAUAUGAUGGGGAGGAAGGGAGGGUCCUUGUGAAAAGGAUGGAAGGUGUAAAAAAUGGACUCGAACUCUGGACUUCAAUCCCCACAAGCCCUUGCUCCACUUCCCCAAAAUGCUUUGUAAUCUCAAGGAAUUCUGAGGUGGGCCGAGAUCGAGAAGGGAUUUAAGCUGAUUGCAAAGGCUUUUGGCUCUUUUUUUGGACUUCCAUUUUGGAGCAGACGCGUCUCUUCCAUGAUGUGAGGUUAUCCUGUCUAGGCCUCUGGCCUAGGCACGUGUUUUUUCUUACUUGUAUAUUCUUAAAUCCUUAAUCUUUAAUAAACCUCAUAAAAUAUAAUACUCCUUGCAGAGAGAAACUAAUUUCUACCUGCCUCAGUCUCCCCUAAAUUUUAAUCUUUACAAAGGUCAGUUAGAAGAAAAAGCCAAUAGUCCAACUUGACCAGGAGAGAGAGAAUGCGAGUGUGCACUUGUGUAUGGGGGUGUGAGAGGGAGGUGGAGAAUAAGGCUGGAAAAGUAGAUGGAAGGCUUUAAAAGCCAGGUUAAAGAUUUUGUAUUUUAUCCUAGAGUUGACAGUAUUCUUUUUUUUUAAACCUUACCUUCCAUCUUAGAAUCAAUACUGUGUAUUGGUUCCAAGGCAGAAGAGUAGUAAGGGCUAGGCAAUGAGGUUAAAUGACUUGUCCAGGGUCACACAGCUAGGAAGUGUCUGAGGUCAGAUUUUAAACCAGGGUCUCCCAUCUCUAGGCCUGGCUCUCAAUCUACUGAACCCCUUAGCUACAACCCCCCCUCCCUGCCGCCAGGGAUUUUUAAUAUACAUAUCUGAGGAUGUAAAAUAGCAUUUGAUUAAAGGAACUAAUAGAUAAAGUUUUUUUUCAAAGCUUAAGCCAUAAGAAGGAUGGAUUGAAGAGUUAAAGGAACAGUUAAGAGGGUUCUGCAAUCAGGAAAAAAGGACAUGGGCCUAUAAAUGUAAUGAAGGGGAUAUAUGUAAGGAAUGUUGUGGAGGCAUUCUUUUUAAAGAGUGGCAAAAUAUGCCUGUUGAUGACAUUAUUGGCACUUUAUUGGCUGUAAAAUGAGCUUGUCUGAAAAUAGAAAUUGUCAUUUUAAAUCCUGUCUAAAGACAAUCUUUUCUUUUUAAUGGUUUCACUAAUUUGGGCAAAAACAAUAAUGACUUUGCUUUUCUUACAUAUGAAGUAUAAGACAACUAAGAUAACCUAAAUAUGGUUGGUUUUGGUUUCUAUUAACACUGUAUAAUUUAAAAUUUCAAGUCUUUCAUCAUAAAAAAACUUAUUGCACUGACAGUUUUAAUUAUAAAAAUAAAAUACUUUAUUUCUUCUUCUUCAAAAAAAGAAUCUUGACAAACAAUUAGAUGUGGGGGUUAAGGAGAGUUGAGGCAUACAAUAUUUUGAGAACCUGAAGACUGAAAUGAUGGUAUGACAAUCAAAGAAAGAAAUGGGGGAGCUGGGAGAAGCUUGAGGUGAAAUAGGAAUUUCAUUUUAGACAUAAUAAAUUUGAGGUGCCAGACAGUAGAUACUAUCAGUUCCUAAGGAAUGAUGCUAGCACAUACUUGUUAACAUUAAAAAAAAGGUCUUGGUAAUAUAGGUCUGGAGUUCAGAAGAGAGGUGGUAGGUGAGCUGGAUAUUGGGGGAGUCAUCUGGAAUCCAUGGAAGUUGAUGAGGUCACCAAGACAAAGUAAAAAAGAAAUGAAUAAGCUGAGUUUAAGGAGAUAAUGAGAAAAUCAGAUAGAAAUAUUCCAGUUGCGGGUGUUUGAAGAUUUUGGUUUAGAGCUUAAGAGAAAUCCAGUUCUGUCACUGUUUACCUUUGAUAUUUCCUGAGAAAGUUUGUCAGUAAAACAAGAAUUUAUUAAUUACUUACUAUUUGCCAGGCACUAUGCUAAGUAUUUAGGAUAGAAAAAAAGGCCAAAACAGUCCUUGCCCUCAAGGAACUCACACUCAAGUUAACAGAGAGGUAACUUGUCCAGAUCAGAUGUCUAAAGAGUAGGUGAACAAGCAAAGGACAGAACCAGGAAAAGCCCCCUGCAAAAGGAAGAAUUUUAGCUAAUUCUUGAGAGAAGCCAGGGAAAUGAUGAAGGAGGAGAAUAGAAGAGAGGAGAACAUGCUAGGUCUGAGUACAGGCCAGGGUAAGGGCACAGAUGAGGGAUAAGAGCAUCUUGGGAGAGGAACAGCAGGUGGGCUAGGCUAAUUGGACUGGAGAGGGCAUGGAUGGGAAUAAAAUCUAGGCCCAGAAAGGGAGUAAAGACCACAUUAUGAAGAGAUUUUGCAUGUCACAUCCAGGACUUCAUAUUUGGCCCUGGAGGUAACAGGGAGCUCUUGGAGUUUACUGAGUAGGAAAGUAACAUGGGCCUAUGCCCAGCUUAGGAAAACCUCCUUGACAGCUAAGUGAAGGAUGGACUGGAAUAAGAUGGACUGGAAUAGGAAGGGUGAUGACAAAGUCUGGGUAAGAGGUGUUAAGGAAUUGAAAUAAUGUGGUGGCUGUGAGUGAAGAGAAGGGGAUAUAGACUUGAGAUGUUAUGGAGAACAGUUUGACAACAGAUUGCAAGUCAGGUGAGGAAAAGCAAGGAAUCAAGAAUGACCCUGAAAUUAUAAGCCUGGGUGACUGGGCAAAUGGUAGAGCCUCUAACAGUAUCAGGGAAGUUUUGAAGAAGGGAAGAUUGUGGGGGAGUGUAUGUGCAGGAAAUAACGAAUUCUGCUUUUGACAUGCUAGAUAUGUUGAGUCUGCGAUGUCUAUGAGACAUCCCUUUGUGAUGUCUAAAAGGCAGUUGGUAAUGCAGGACUAAAAAUCAAGAAAAAGACUAGGACUAGACUGAGAUCUGGAAAGUAUCUGCAUAGAGAUGAUAACUGACCAACGUGAGCUGAUGUGAUCUUCAAGUGAAAUAAUAUAGAAGAAAAGGAAGAAAGGAUCCAGGACGGAGGAUUGAGAGACACUCAUAAUUAAUGGGUAUGACAUGAAUGAAGAACCAUCCAAGGAGACAAAAGAGUAGCCAGAUAAACAAGGAGAGAACCAGGCAAAAGAGAGCAGUAUCAUGAAAAUCUAGACUGCAAAAAGUAUAAAAGAAAAGGUGCAACAGAGUCAAAUGCUACAGAAAGAUCAAGAUGAGGACUGAGAAAAGGCUAUUUGGAAAUCAUUGAUAAAAAGAGCAACUCCUUUGGAGUGGAAGGAAUCUGACAAAUGAAAAUGGUGAACACAAAAAUUUUUUCCUGAUAACUAGAAAUUGUGUACAUUUCCUCCUGGCUGAUCCACAAACAAGAUGCCCCUUCUUUUAGCUACUGGCAUUUUCUGACUAUCUCCUCUGCCUCAUCUCCACCUACUGCCUUCCGUGGCUUCCUUUAAGUCCCAACUAAAGCCUCAUCUUCUACAAGAAAUCGUUUUCAGCUCCUCUUAAUUAUACUGCCUUCCCUCUCUUAAUGAUUUCCUAUUUAUCCUGUAUGUUAGAUUGUUUUUCUUCAGAAAAUUUGGAUCCUAGUUUGUCUGGAGUUCUUUAUCUUAAUGUGCAAAUGUUUUACCAAGGUUUUGUUUUUUUUUUAGGAUAACUUUGAGACUAUAUAACUAACUAAACUUCUGUUUCUCUACAAUUCAUGCUCAGUUUUUUUUAUGCUAUGGGAAUGUUCUCAACUGUAAAAUGGGAAUAAUAGAAUCUACUUCACAGGGUUAUAAAAAUUAAAUAAUAUUUGUAAAGCAUCUUGCACAUAGUAGACAUUAAUAAAUGCUUGCUCCUCUCCCUUCUCGUGGUGUGGUAAAGAGCAUUAUAUUUAAAAUGAAACACAUCAGUUUAAAUUUCAGAUCUUAUACUCACUAGCUAUAUGCCUACAAGAUAAGUCACUUAAUCUUUCUCUGCCUCAUUUUUCUUAUCUGUAAAAUAAAAUGGGGAUAAUAUCCUACUUAGCAGUCAAUGGACAUUCAUUAAGCUUUCUAUAUACCAGACACUAUGCUAGGUACUGGGAAUACAAACAAACUAACAAAAAAUAGCCCUUGUCUUUAAGGUGCUCACAGUCUAACAAACAAAUAUAUAAAAACAAUCUACAUUACAGGAUAAAUAGGAAAUAAUGAACAGUUGUUGUUCAGUCAUGUACAACUCUGUGACCUCAUUUGGGAUUUUCUUGGGAAAGAUACUAGUGGUUUGCCAUUUCCUUCUUUAGCUCAUUUUACAAAGGAGGAACUUAAAAGCAAGCAGGGUUAAGUGACUUGCCCAGGGUCACAAAGCUGCCAAGUGUCUGAGGAAGGAUUUGAACUCAAGAAGAUGAGUCUUCCUAACUCUAGGCAUGGCACUGUGUCUACUGUGCCACCUAGUUUAUAUAACUAAGGGACUGGAAUUAAGAGGGAGUAGGAUUUAGUUGGGCUUUAAAGGAAGCCAGGGAAAGUAGUAAAUGGAGUUAAGGUGAGAAAGUAUUCCAGAGAAAAUGCCCAGAUUAAUGAGAUGGAGUAUCUUGUGGCUCAGCCAUGAGGCUGAUCAUCACUAGAUUAAAAAGUAUGUGGCAGAGACUCAUAAGACUCAUGCAAAGAGAUCUGUACAUCAUAAAUCACUAUAUGUAAGUGAACUACCACUAUUUCAUUGAAUUCCUUAGACAUUUUAUGAUCUAUUAAUAGUAAUUUUUCAAAUAGUCAUUUUCUUUUUCUUCUUAAAGAAGAAUACUCCCAGGGAUAAGAUAAAGAAGUUACAAUCUACUGAGUACAUGAACUUUAAAUAACACUGGGUCGGGUGGCUCCAUAAUGAUCCCUUGUUCACUCAAGAACAAAAGGGAGUGGAGAAGUUUAUUAUAUGAUUAUUGUAUAUGAAAUAAUGUUGUCACCAUUAUAACUAACAUUUUUAAAAGCAUGGCAGCACAAGUCCAUUAUAAAUAUUAUUUUAGCAGGGUGGAGGGGAAAUACUAAUAAUCAGUGGUGGCUGAAAACAGAACAUUACAGCUAAAAACCAUCUGCUUUGGUAUAUAAACCUGCCCCUUGGGGAGUAUUCUAAGUGUAGUGUAGUGCAGGGGCUAAUGAAUGUUGCUAAGCAUUCAAAGAGCAGAAAGAGCUCACUGAGCCUUUUUAAGUAUAAUAAUUAUUUGAUCUCACCUUUUUUUGAUUCAUGUAACUUUCUACUUUGUAUAAUAUUUUUGUAUAUGCUAUAUUUCUCCUUUUCUCCUCCUUCAUUAGAUUAUGAACUCCUUGGGAGUAGAAACUUUUAAAAAAUCUUUGUAUUUUGUGCAUAGUAGGCACUUAAAAGUCUGAAGUACUCGACUUGUUCCAGGAAAAGAAGGAAGGGGAGAGGUCACGAAAUUAGCUUUGGCUGAUGAGGUACAACUACCAUAAAUAUUAAGGUGUGUUAACACAAGUUUAAUUAACUGGAGGCAACAGGAAGGACUAGCAGCCAGGGACUCAGUGUCAUCCUUAAGGAAAUUGACUGACUUCACAUUUUGGCACUCAAGCCCAAGCAUCUCCACUUUUCUACUAGGGGGGGACAAGAGAGGGAAUCCUGUAGGGAAAAACAGAAAUUCAAAGGGGAAGGGAGCAAAGAAGAUCGAAGAAAGGAAAGAGGAGAAGAGGAGGGGAGGGGAGGAAGGAAAGGAAGGAGAAAGGGAAUUAAGGAA